rnacentral:lncRNA from 1 species
UUCUGCCCUCACCGAGGAGGUUGGAUGUAGAAGAACCAAGCUGUGAGAAGGGGAGAGAGCCAUUGUUGAAGCAGCCAUAUGAGAAAAUGAAAGUGUUUACGAGUGUGUAGAGGGCCGAGUGAUUGUUAUGUUUUGCAUAGAGAAGCAUGGUGGGUAUUUGUAUAGGUUUGAUGCUAGAAAGUCGUUAUCUUUCUGCUAUCUUCAUCCCUUUUCUCACUGGUGAAAUGAAGUUCAAAGAGUUUCAAUCCUUUGAUCAAUUCCAGUUGGCAUGAUAGGCUCCAGUUAUUUAGUUCCACAAAGAUAGCAAUUGGAAAAUAGUUAUGCUUUGAUUUCUGACCAAGUAGAAUUAGCCCUACGAACAUGGCCGUCUUUUUGCAAUAAUGAUCAUAAUGACUCGAUUUCCAGUUGGUUUGAUAUGCACCACCAGCAUAACGUACGUAUAGAUACCAUAGAACAUCAAAGGAGAAAGAAUAAUGAAUUUUUCGACUAGAAAUGAGGAUGUUAAAACUAGACACAUGAUUACAAAAAUCUGAAAUAACAUUAAGAAUCUCUAUAAUUAAGGAUACAUUCAACUAAACAUAAAUUAGAAACAAAAUAUUACUCUAACGACGACUCAUUUGGCAUAUGUAAACCUUCAGACCAAUGUUCUAAAAAAUGCUAGGCGCUAGUCGGGCGGUAGAGGUGAAAUUUUGAAACCAAAAACCGAAAAAAAACCGAGCCGAAAACCAAACCGAAACUGGAAAAAACCAAACCUAAUUAAGAAAAACCGAACCGAACCAAAUUAGUUUGGUUUGGUUUUUGGUUUCGGCCCUUGAAAAACCGAACCGAACUGAAAAACUGAAUAUCCCUAAAACGACGUCGUUUUUUGUCUUUAUUUUCAUAUUAAAUAUUUGAUUUGAACAAUAUGAUUUUUAGGUUUUAUGUUCUAUAUAAUUAUCUGUUUGUCUUUUCUAAUAUUUUGCUUUUUAUUUUCAUUUUAUGUACAUAUAGAAAUGUUUUAGGUGUCGUGUAUGCAAAGUAUAGAGAGUGAUAUGUUACCUCUAAAAUCGAAGACCUUAUUAUUGCGAGCUUUAGAUGACAAAUUCUAAUAUUUAAUUUAUUUUUCUCUUCUUUAUUCAAAUUUAUGAUUUUUAAAAUUUAAAAUUCGGAAUUUAUUUGGAUGAACUUUAAACUAUGGAGUCUAUAUGUUGUGUUCAAGAUGAACUUACAAGUUUUAAAAUUAUGGUUUCAUGGUGUGCUAGUGUGGUCAAUUCUCAAUACUUUCGAAAUUAUUGAGUAUUAAACUUUCAAAGUAUCUAUUUGGUUUAUAAAUUGUUGGUUUGUUGAAGAAAUCAUUGUCAAAAAUUUUAUUGAUAUAUUAUAUAUGCUUAUAAAAAAAAACUAGUAAUGGAAGAAAAAAAAGACCUAAAAUACGAUAAUUUUUUACCAAGGCAAAAGCAUACAAAUUUUAAGAAAAAUUAUUUUAAAAAAGAAGAAAAACAAAAAAAAAACUGAACCAAACCACGGUUUGGUUUGGUUUCCGGUUCAAGGUCUCAAAAAAUACCAAACCAAACUGAAUUUUUUAUUCGGUUUGGUUUCAGGUUUUAUGUGAAAACCAAACUCACCCCUAUCGGGCGGACAGCCGGUGACUAGCGCUUAAACGGGUCAAUCGGGAGAUUAAUCAGUUUUCUAACUCUCUAGACGGAAACAGUGAAGCACCGCCUAACACGUAGGCGUGGAUUAAUCGGCUAUAAGCGGAGAUUUUUAAACCAUUGCUUGAGACAACAACUAGUCCUUAAAACUUGUAUGACGAAAUUGACUGUGGCUCAAAUUAUAAGGAGCUACAUUUAGAAUAUCUGCUGCUAUGGGGCAAGUAAGCAAAACAUGGGAAGUAUCUUCAUAAGGACAUGGGCAUGAUAUGCAUCAAGUAUCACCUGUAUAACCCUUUGUAGUAAGUGCACGUACCUCUCAUUGGCAGUCGGUUAAAGCAAGCUUUCCAGAAGCAAAUACGCACCUCCUCGGUACUUUUGUUUUCCACAAUCGUUUCUGCUAUAAGCCGUUUUUAUGGUCAUGUCUUUUUUUUUUUUUUUUUUUUUCUGUUUUAGGUAGAACAAAAUUUUCUUGCCUUGCUUUUUUUUUUCAAUAUGAUAUUUGUUUGCUCAAUACCAUUUUGGUCUAGUGACAUAAGUCUCUCCUUGUAAAUGAGAAGUCGUGAGUUCGACUCAUAGUAUUGUAGCAUAUUAUUGUGCGUUUGAUCCAAAAAUAAAAUAUGAUCUUUAUUUGGGAUCAUAGCGUUUUUUUGCUUUUUGCUUCAAUAUGCAUGUGGACAUUUUAUGUACUUAUAGGCUCAAUUAUGGUGUGAGCUGAAAUAUGUAGUAGGAGUGUUACCUGUACGUGGAUUAUUUGAUCUUAUUUACCCUCUUUACACAAGACAAUGCAUUGAUUCAUGAUGUAUCAUUUAUUUGAAUGGAUUGGAAUAUCUUCUUUAAUUCAAAAAUUAAUUAAAGAUCUCUUUCCUUAAGAUUGUGAGCAAACUUUUGCAUUUAUACAUAAUUAAUGGCCACUAUGAGCAAGUAAUAUUUAUUUUCAUUACCUAUUAAAGUUCAUUCAUCGCUAUAUAAGCAUGGAUGUAGCAAGAAAACUCCUAUAGUUUAUUCUAAGCCUGAGCCAGAGAUAAAAUGAUGAGAAAAGCAUUGUGGCAGCUCUACUGUUUUCUGCUUUUCCUUGUCCUAGCGCAUUGCAUUCUCCAUUGUGGCAGCCACCCUGUUUGGGGAAGAAAGUAUUUCGUCCGUAUUGUUAACAAUCUCGAAAACAACGAAGUGCUUAACUUUCAAUGUAAAUCCCUAGAUGAUGUAAUUGGUCCGCGUACUCUUCCUCCAUUUGGUGAAUUUGAAUUUAAAUUUCACUUCGGCCCUGAUACAGUGUUUGAAUGCUCUACGUGGUACUCAAAUCGCAUGGCUAAUUUUACAGCAUGGGAACCAAUUGUUCAACCUUUAUGAGGCGGGGCGCAUUUAAUUUAACUAUAUACUAAAGUAUGGUUUACUGUUCAUAAUCACUGUUCACAUCACAUGAAUAGUGCACUGUUUGGUGGGUGUGAUUCUGUUUAUGCCCUCUGUUUCUAAAAAACCACGAAAUUACCAUUAACCCUAGAUAUAUGAUUGUCUUCUAUAUAAUUAGUUGUUGUUGAGGAUGUUGUGGGUUGGGAAGUAAUUUUUGAACUCUUAUCUUCAUUACCGUGUCUCAAUUUUUUUUUUUUUCAUAGAUCUCACAAAGGGUAUUGUUAUCGAAGUCAAUCUAAAAUAGGGUAGUGGUAUCAUAGACCAAGGUUGAGCAAGUUUAUUUUCUUAAUUAUUGAGGUGAAACAAUUUUGGUUCUAUUUUAGCAACGGAAUAUUAAUUGAAGUACAAAUAUCUUUGAUUUGGCCAAAGAAAUUAUCUGGUUGCAAACCAACUCCUAAUUAACAAAACGUACUAAGUUAAUUUAAAUAUCGUGUGAUGAAGUACUAUGUUAUAUAUACUAAUGCAAUAUAUUUGGUUUUUGUUUUGUUUACUUUUAAUUUACUUGGUUUCUCAUCUUUGGUUUUAGUUUUGUUUACUUUCAAUUGAGUUGGUUCCUCAUUUUUUGUUUGGUUUUUAUGUCAAGUUCUCAUCUUUGACAUUUUGAGAUCAGUCUCUUUAGGAGCUUGAGAUAAAUAUUCUUUUCAGUUAAUUAAUCACUUGCUUUGUGUGUGUGUGUGUGUGUGUGUUUUGUUUUUUUUUUUUCUUUACUNUAGUAUNAUAUANCUUUAUUAGUUAGUUUUUAGUUUUUUUUUUUUUUUUUUUUCCUAUCUUUAGUUUCCUAUAAAUCAAGUUUUCUAAAAAUUGCGUUUUUGGUGAAAAACAGUUAAACAAAUAUGAGCAUUUUGUAUAGUCAAAACUAGAGCUAUAUUUUCGAUCAUACUGCUUCAGAUAAGUUGUUCUAUUUUGUGCACUUACAAGACAUUUACUAUUUUGGAUAGGUUACAACACUAGAUGUUUUGUAUUGAAGUUCUAUGAAGUACAUAUCAAAAACUUUUUCAUCAAUCAACUGAAUCAUUAACCAGUUUUAUAAAUAUACACCGCGCCAAGGCGCGGGUAUCAACUCUAGUUGUAUAUACAGUGUGUGAUCUGCUACUGUGUUCAGGUACAACAUAGCAACUCGACGAUAUGUAGGAGUCAUUAAUUUUUGGACUGUAGUACCAUGAAAAUGUUUGGGACAAAUGUAGUUUCAAACAAGAAAUAUUUAUAAGCUACAAGUAUGUUUUUUUAUUUUUUAUUUUUUUUAUAUAUGAAUAAAGGGCUGGUGCGGCUGUUUUCAAGCCUUCAUUAAUGAAACUGUCGAAUACAAGAGGGGCAUAUAUAAAGCCUAAACCCCUGAUUACAAAGACCCAAAAUAAUAUCGAGAAUCUCUAUAAAAUACAUGUAUUCUGAUAAACACCAACUAGCAAAUAGUACUACCCUAAAGACGAAUAUAUUUGCUUUGUCAUAUCGGUGACAUAAUGGAAAGAUCACUAGAUAUGUAACACGAUUACUUAUCCUAAUGUCUGAUAAAGAAUAGUACACAAGAAGUUAAUUAGCAAAGAAUAUUAGAAUACUUAUAUAUACACCAAGUUCUAAUACCAAACGUGAUCGAUCCAAUUUUUUUAUUUUUUUGAUGAAAGGGAUUGUAGUAAUCAAACUGGGCACAAAUUAUCUACCCAAACUACAGGAUUUGGAGCUGCAUAUGUUGUACUAGCCAAUCUGUGCGCCACUGUAUUGCAAGUUCUACUACCCAUGAGAGAGAGUCAUGGAUGUCACAAAGUAACCCUUCCAGCCCUACAUAGGUACCUUGCGUAUAGGAGAUAACCAAAAUUGCCUCUAGACAAUCUGUUUCUAUGAUAGCACAUACACAAUGUUUUCAAAAGUUUUAGUCCUUCUUUGAUAGCAUAUACCUCCGCCUUCUUUGCAGAGACUACUGGGGCAAUAGGAAUGACCAAAGCUGCCUUGAAUUUUCCUUGAUUAUCCCUGAGUAUCCCUCAAGUGCCUCCACGAAGAAAUGUUGGAAGAAAGCUACCAUCCACCAUGAGUUUGGUUUCCAUUUCUUGUGUUGUAGUUGGGGAGUCUGCCUUACUGGAGGUUGUAUUUGAACUUGUUGGUUUUCAUUGAACUAGGCCAUUGCCCAUGCUUGUACUUCUUGUGCUGUUUGAUGCUUUUCAUUCCAUAGUAUAUUGUUUCUGUUAGGCCAAAGAGACCACAAGCUGAUGAGAAGUUUGGCAAAGAGCUCCUUUGGCAUAUGUAAACCUUGAGACAACAACCAGUCCUUAAAACUUGUACGAGGAAAUUGAAUGUGGCUCAAAUUAUAAGGAGCUGCAUUUAGAAUAUCUGCUGCUAUGGGGUAAGUAAGCAAAACAUGGGAAGUAUCUUCAUAAGGACAUGGGCAUGAUAUGCAUCAAGUAUCACCUGUAUAACCUUUUUUAGUAAGUGCACGUACUUCUCAUUGGCAGUCGGUUAGAGCAAGCUUUCCAGAUGCAAAUACGCACCUCCCCGAGUCCCCGUAAUUUUUGCUUUCCACAAUUGUUUCUACUAUGGGUCCGUUUUUUUUUUUUUUUUUUUUUCUUAGUUUCAGGUAGAACAAAAUUUUCUUGCCUCUUCACAAAAACAUUUCUUGCCUUGUUCGUUUUUUUUUUUUUUUUUUUCAAUAUGAUCUUUGUUUGUGAUCAUAGCGUUUUUUUGCUUUUUGCUUUAAUAUGCCUCUGGAUAUUUUAUGUACUUAUAGGCUCAAUUGCGAUGUGAGCUGAAAUGUGUAGUGGGAGUGUUACCUGUACGUGAAUCAUACACAAGACAGUGCAUCGAUUCAUGAUGUAUCCUUUCUAUUAAGAAAAACAUAAGGGUCUUAUGACUUCUACUUAGUUGCUGAUUCAUAGAAUUAUUACCACUCUUAGGCUCAGUUUAGGAUUGCAUUUUUGGGUUAAAUCCUGCUUUUUCUCACCCAUUUAUGACUGAUAGCCUGUUUGGUAAGCAUUUCAUAUCUGCGUUCUUUUAACGAUUGCGGCCGGAAACCGCAAAAAUGAAAAGCAGCGGAGGACCUGCUUUUUCUUAUCCAGCGUUUUGUGAACGUGAAUCAAAUAGCCUGUACAUUCAUGAAAUUCCAGAAACAUCCCCACUGAAAUUCAAAAGUCAAACCCCUCGGAAUUAAUUCUCGUUCUCUUCUUCUGGGUUUCUUUCGUUUUUUGCCUUCUUUUGCAGCUCCUCAUCCCCUUGCCUUCGUACCUCUCUCUUCACAGCUAUUCACUUCUUCUUUGAUGGAUUACUGUAUCAUAUUAUUUUAUAUAUAGAUCUGUAAUUGAUCGUAAGGUGAUCGAGGUUUCCAUCGAAUCGCAUACACUUCGUAAUUUGAUGAGAAGAACAAAAGAUCCAUAUGAGUCAAAAGAUCUGUAUCUAUUUUUGAAAUUCUUUGUUUUUGAUAUCAUGUUUACCAAACAUUGUAGCAGUACUUAUUUUUACCUCAACACUUUCAAAUAUAUGAUUUACCAAACAUUAUACCGAGAUUUUUUACAACAGAUUAUUUUUACAACAGAGUUAUUUUAAAGUAGAGUUUAUAUACCUCAAUAUCAAACUAGGCUUUAUUGGUGGACAUAUAACCAAAAUGACGGUUUCUGAUGUCCUAGAAAUGAAAAACAAAAAUUUGAAAGAGUGGCAUUAUUUUUUGAGCAAUUUAAUGACAUCACACAUUAUAACCUAUACUAAAGACCUAUCUCUAAUGUACCGUUCAUUUUAUUUGUCCUUAUUCUCUCGAUAAAUUUUUCAGUAUUUCCGAAAGACCAUGUGGCAUUGCCUGGUUAUCCAAGCCUAUGAGACGUUGACACGUGACACUUUUUAGACAACUCGCAUCAAGGUUAAUUCAUUUAGUUUUCAACUGCAGUAAAACAAACCCCUCAACUAUCGCCGUUAAGUGAUAGUGUGAUAAAAAAAUGUAAAUCUCUGAAUUUUGUUCGUCCUCUCGCCGUCUGCCUUUCUCUUUGUGUUCUUUUCAGCAGAAGCACAAGGAAGCUUGUGGGUUCAGUUAAGCCUUGUCGUCGCCCAUAAGAUCCACUUUGUCCAACAAUUGGGAUUUUCAGUUCCCCGUAGCUAUUACCCGAUCUCCUCCACGCGUCCCCAGGUUUCUUCUCUUCUCUUCUCAUUUCCCAAUUGUUUUUCUUGCUCUUUGGGUCUUGCUAGUUUUUGUUAAUUUUGGUUAGAGAGUUGAAUGAUUGUGAUCAGACUCACUUUUCGGAGAAGAAAAGAAAAUUGAAAAUGGGAGAACUGAGUUCAAAGAAAGAGAAUUUGGGAAACGAAAUCCGCACAAACCGACGGAGGUGAGUAUUCGACGAUUUUGGUUAGUUAUAUGGAAUUGAUGAAACUUCGACGGCUCUCCCUUCUUGAAUAUGUUGUUUAUGGGAUUUGAUUUCUACACCAAAGUGAGGAAAAUUCUAUUAAGCUAUCAUAUAUUCAUAUUGGCUAUGAUUGAAUGGUACAUGACCAUAAUAGCUUGAAUUCCAGUAAAAGCUUUGUGGAUUUGGGAUUUGAAGUUUGAGGUUUUAUUUUUAUUUUUUGGAUUUGAAUUUUGCAGUUUUUGAAAUUUUACAUGUUAGUUGAUGUUGUUAUCCUUUUCAUGUUAAAGUCCAAUGUAUGAUUUAGCAGGUUAGAUGAGAUAUUGGAUUUGCUGAACCUUCAGGUAGUUAGAAAAUAUGCCAAUGUCUCCAAUGGAGGGGUGCCAUUUAAUUAGAAAGUAAACAUCCCACAUUGUUAUCAGCCCUAGACCACCAUUUUACACAUUUCAGACCAACAAUUUGAUUGCUUGUUUUCUCUGCUAUGUACUCAAAUCUAUUACAGCUACUGGGAUAGCUGCAUCACCAAAACUAGUUCUUUGUGUAUCACAGCUUAUGACUCUAAUUGUUUUACCAUCAAGGUCACACAGAAUACUUGAUUUUGGAUUAGUCAUUUACUUAUCCAUUUUGUCAAAUAUGGGUUCUGCUGAGAAAUGCCAGGAUGGCAAGUAAUUAAGCAACAAUUUUUGGAUGAUCCUUCUGAAACAACUAUAUACAUAGCUGGUUUGCAGGCUGCAUGGAAGCUUGGUGCUGCAUUCAAAUUGGUUAUCAUUUGAUUAUGACACUGCGUCUAGUAUCUGCUAAGUUUAUUGGUCUUUAGGUUCAAAAGUUUCGUUUUAUCGAAACUCUUAUGAGUUUUAUUUGGUUUGCAUAUAGUUCUCUUUUGAAGCUUGUAUUAUAUCUAAAUAUUUCUCAUGUUCUCUUUUUAGAUCUACCCCAAAUCCUGUUUUUUCUUUUUUUGAAUUCUGGGUGCACAGGCAGUGAGAUUGUAGUUGUCAGUGACAAACUAAGGAUAAAUUGGAAGAGCUUUAAGGUAUCUCAAUCAGUGAUUUCCUGAAUUACUUCAUUUGGAAGAGCCUUAAGAUAACUUGGUUAUUCUGAUUCCUAUAUGAUGUCUGAUAAUGUGUGGACAUGGGUGCAGGUUGAACCGUAACAGAUGAGGAUUGGCAUAGUUGAGUUUGAGGAUGAUGUGGUACUUGACAGUGAGGGUGACGAAGUUAAUGGAAGGUGACUCAUACAAGUAUGUCUCUGGACAAAAAGUGCACUGCAGGUUUGUAUAUUUGCUUCUUCUUUUUUUUGUUGUAUUUUGGUUAAUUUUUUGAUAGCAGUUGGCGUUGAACGUGUUGAUGAUAUGAAGUUUUUUUUCUUAAUGAAUGCUUGAGGAAGUAAUCUCUGCAAGACUUUGCAUUUACUAAUUUGAAUGACAAGUUUCUUGAAAUAAUUUUCAUACUACGGAGGAGUAAAGGCCGAAAUAUUUGUGCUGCUUGCAGAAUUUAGCUACAUCGACUCCCAUGAUCUUGGUUGGUCGCAUUACUGUAAGAGAAAGACAUUAGAUAAAUGGCUUUCAAACAUAUAUAUGAAGAUAGCUAGCAUCUAGGAUAAUAACAGGGUUUCAAAACUUUUCAAAUAUCGAUAAAAAACUGUGUGCUUGGUCAUAGUUAAGAUCAACUCAGUUAAAAUUGCAUAUGUGAAUGUGUAAAAUUCAAUCUUUGUGCAUAUACCAUAGGGACCAUUAGCACUCAAUAUUCAAUGAUAUAACUCAAAACAUGCAUCUCUCACAAGAAGUAAUGUUUUCAGCCAUUAACGUAAAACCUGAAGAGGAUAGAACUAUUAUGUUUCGAGUCACUUUCGUUUAACCAAAAACUAAUUAGGUCUCAUAGCUAGAAUACCAGCAUGAUGAAGAUGCCAAGGUGCAUUUGAGCAGCAGAGCAGUGAACUCCAGAUGCAAUGAACACCCAAAGUGAUAAUUGUAGAAAUAUAAUCCAUGUUACUUGAAGCAUUUUUCUCCUUAUGUGCAUAAACUAAAUGUCUAUUUAAAAGAGCUCUUACUUUGCUUUAUUGAAGGAUAUAGAUUGUGUCUCAUGUAUAUCGAUCUUUUUUUUUCUUCAUCACAUUGCUUAAUGAGCAUGCACCUUUGUUGUAUAGUCCAAUGGACUAAUUACAUUUUAUUUUUAGUUACAUUCAUGAAAUAUGUAGGAACCUCUAUGCAAUACUCUGAACAAGAAACAUGACAAGAAGUAUGUUCCAAUUUUAUAUGCUAAUUUUAUUGUUCCUUAUGUGGGAUAGAUGGGGUUGGAAGAAUUGUUGGACUGCUAAUCGAUCAGAGGAAGGCCCCAUCAAAGUGGAUGUCUAACCUGUUACUAGAGCUCUUUAAUUUGAUGAUGUAAACUCAGGUUGUCUGAGAGGGAUUUCCCCUUAGUGUUUGUUUGUUUCGUAUCAAAAAAAAGAGUGAAUGUCUAACGCGGACCAAACAAAAGUGGAGGUGUCAUCAUGCAUCUGGGAAUCAUACACCUGCUAAAUUUAUGCUUCGAAUUUCCAGUAUUUUUCCGUGUCUCAACAAUUGUAAAGUUCAUUCGUAUCAAAAAAACAAUUUGUAAAGUUCAUUCUUCAUAGAGUUGUGAGCAGCAUAUUGUAUCAUGAGGAAUUGAUGGGCUCGGAUGCAUAAUGAUUUACGUUUGCAGGAGCCAGGAGAGUUUGGUAUGCCGUUGGAACUUGGAAACCAUGUAGGUAACCAGUUUUGUUGGACAAAGAGGAUGACAAACUCUUAUUUGAAAUGGAAAGCUUUGGUAAACUAUUCAAACCAUGAGAUAUCAAUGUAGCACAAGACUCAUUUAUAUAUCCGACUUUGCCGUGUGUAGUUUGUAUAUAGAUUAUAUCCUUGCUAUGAGGAAAAAAAAAUAUAUAUCCGGCGUAAUUGGGAUAGAAAACGAUCCCCGCGCGGGAAUACCAGCUAGUACAUGGACUAAUCCUUAUAUGAACAAUUUCUAUUCGGAAAUCUAUUACAUGUAAAGCUUCAGACAUGGCAUAAUUCUAGUAACCGAAGAAGUGGCGUCUUAUAUUUAUCUGAAGCUCGUCAGGCAAAUUUUCCAAAAUACGUUCUUCAUUUACAUCCGUGGCAGAAUAUUGUUCGGCAUUUCUCACUUGCCUUCUAAACUCUUCAGGCAAGUUUCUGUACCUCAUCCACGCCUCAACAUCACGCCUCCUCAUCAACAUAUCAGACCUCCUAAAAAACCAAAAGAAUGAGAAAGGCUGAGAUGUAUAUAGAUUCUUACUAUCAGUAACCUCUUUCUCUAACAAAAAAAACUCUAGAAGAAAGAAAGUGGUAAUAAAGUCACGAUCAAACAAUAAAAAUGUGGUCAGCAUAUAGAUUCUUACUUUCAGUAACCCCUUUCUCUCAAUUAAAAAAAAAACUCUAGAAGAAAGAGAAUGGUAAUAAAGUCAAGAUCAAACAAUAAGAGUUAAGAAACAGAUUGGACAAAAAAAAAUAAAAAUAAAAAUUAAGUACCUUUGUCCAAGAGACUGGAGAAAAUUUUGCAUGUUUCCGAUCAGAAGAGCAAGGAGGAAGAGUCCCAGUCCAAUAAUUACCAUCGUAAAGAUAAUUUCACCAUUGUUAUAGCUUGGAGUUAGAUUUCCUCCCAAAGUGCUGAUUUGCUUAAUAAAUCACAGGAGAUAAUAUGUCAGCAUAAAGGUGUAACUUAUUUAUGAAAUCAUAAUAAAAUAAAGGGAAGUUAUCAGCAAUUAGAAUGUAAGGUACCUGAAACCCCCAAAACAAUGAGUAUAGAUAUUUAGUAAUGAUAUGUCCCGUAGUGAUAUUGAUAAUUGGCGCAUAGAUUCCAUAUGAGAAGUCUCCAUUGGGACUAAAACAAAGAGCAGCCUUCUCAUUUAGUCUCCGUUUAGUAAUUAACUCAUCCAGGGAAAGAUAACGAGCAUGCCAACAAUCUAUUAAGUUCGGGCAUGACUGCAUAUUAGAAUUGUGGCAGGCGUCUUGAAGACAUUGGUUAACCCUCUGGAACAAGAAAAAAAAUACAAAUGUUCUCAGUGGCAUAGCCAGAAACUAUCACUAGAAGGGUCAAAAUUUAAACAAUAAUACUAUUGCCUGUUAAAAAAAAUUAAAAAAUUAAAAAACUAUUGAAUGACAUAAAAAUGUAUGAAUUAUUACAUCAAUAAUUAAAAAGGACAAAAAGUAGGUUUUCCUAAAGCAAUUAUAAUUGUUCACGACAAUUACUCAUAUUUUGAAAUAUUUUCAUGAUGGUUUCACCGUCAAAUAUAUCUUUCUCAAUAUAUGUAAUCAUGAACAUGUCUCCCAUUCGGUUUCGCAAAUCACUUAUAUAACCGUCAUGGCAAAAAAUGCUCUUUCUACAGUGACAAUUGCAACUGGAAGAAUCAGUGUCAAUGUUAUGAGCAAGUAAACUAACGGAUCAACCUGGUUUUUCUGUUUCAACAAUUUUUUCUCGAAGCUCACUAAUUUCUUUCAUUUUUUUCCAAAGUACAUUCAUUGGAUCUAUCUCUAUUCUGAAGUACAGCGACAAUUGCAACUGGAAGAAUCAGUGUCAAUGUUAUGAGCAAGUAAACUAACGGAUAAACUUGGUUUUUCUGUUUCAACCAUUUUUUCUCGAAGCUCACUAAUUUCGGUCAUUUUUUUCCGAAGUACCUUCAUUGGAUCUAUUUCUUAUUUGAAUAGCUUGAGAUGCUGUCAACUGAUCCGUUGCUUUCUUUACAAUAUUUUUGAGAAAAUUUUCAUAAUUUCAAAUNNNNNNNNNNNNNNNNNNNNUUCAUAAUUUCAAAUAUUAAUUCUAAAGGUUUUGACUUGUUGUUUGUAGGGAGAAAUGUUUAAAGAACAAAAAAAGGAAUUACAGUUGAGAAGAAUUUAAAGAGCAUGAUAAGAGACAAAUAAAUUGUAGAAGCUUGAAUUUAUAUAGACGCAAGGUAAAUCAUGAAUCGAUUAGGAAGACAAAAAUGAAUAAUAAAUCUGUCCAAAUAUGAGAUGAAAGCAAACUUCUUUCCGAAAACUAUUUUCUUACUCCUAUAUUGAUUAGUAAAAAACAUGGGGUUAGAACUUAAAAGCUUUUCUGUCGACAAGGGUGGAGUAGUCUUGUCCAAACCAAGACAAGAUUUGGAAGGAGAUUACAAAUAUUUAAGACAAGUCUUGUCCAUAAGGGUCAAAUCUUGUUUCAAAGUGUAAUAUAUAUAUAUGUUGCCCCAACCAAUAGAAAGUUAGCUUAAAAUGUUAGAGGGUUCAAUUGAACCCUCUCGCCCCAUUGUGCCUACGCCCCUGAAUGUUCUAUUAAUUUGUUUUGACUUUAUCAUAAUUAAUUGCAUCAUAAAUUUCUUGUGAUUAUUGACUUUGGUAUAUAUUUAUAUAUUAUACUCAUUAGGUUUUUUUUUUUUUGAUCAAAUGCUCAUUAGGUAUUUAGUAAAAAUUCUGAUAUUUCUUUAAAAUAAAAAUAAAAAUUCCAAUAAAUAUGAAACAAAUAAAAAGAUAUACAAUUUAAAGACGACGUAAACCUUGUUAGUUGACUCAUAUUUAAAUUAUGGCAAUUUGUGUAAUUCUUUUGAAAAAAAAAAAAAAGAAAUCUAAUAUUUGAUCCUAGUUGGCAAUAAUUGGGUGUAAUUUAAAACAAUUUUAUGAGUGAGUUUAAUAUAAAAUGUGAUUUGAAUAUUAAGUGUAAAAUGAAAUGCCUCAUCAAACAAAUACGGGGAAAUAUGCAUCAUUAGGUUAGAUAAAAUGAAAUCUCCACACACCUGUAAGCCAAAGAGGUACCACCAUGACCCAAUGACAUGGGCAACCAGCAAAAAACUGAGUGUGUUUACAAUGAAAUUCGUCCAAAUUGACCCGAAUACAAAGAAUCCAUUCAAUGAUCGACCAGCAAGAAGGGACAAAACCCUAUACACCCUAGGAAAGUAUUGAAGAAAUAUUGCCAGGUGUAGAAGAUUCUUGGUCUCAUUUGUUCGUAGAGAAAAUCUUCCGUGCAACAGCCGCACCAGCUGACAUGUGCGACCAGCCGACCAACAAGUGCCUUGAUUUUUUCCACGCCAGCAAACUACGAAAAAGGCUCCAAGUUUAAAGUUGAAAUUUCAUUAUCCCGCCGGAAGCCAGAGUUAUAUUUAAAUUAGGAUUUCUAGGUGGUUAUUCUAAUCCAGGGAAGAACAAACGCCUCACUUUUCAGAUUACGGUCUCCUCAUUCCUCCCACUCACUUUUCUCCCACCGAUACUGAUAAUUCAUCAUCUCAUUUCCUACCGUUUCCAAAUUCAUGAACACAGAUCUUUCUAGACCCGAUUCAUGAACAUAGAUCAUGCUCGACCCGAUUCACGAACAGAGAUCUUUCUCAACCCGUUUAGUUCAUUCUCAUCGGUCAGGUAUUAUCUUUCUAUGCUGAAAUUAUGUGGCACCUCUUAUCUUCAAUCUUUUAUUCUUUGUGAGUGUAUCGUGUGGAUGGGAUGGACUGGAGAGAUAGAUAAUAGUUGAAAAGAAGACCAUGGGGAUGAGUUGGUUUUAGUCUCCAAAUUGAGGUUUAGGAGGUGGGUCAUUUUCUUGGAAUUCCAAUUUUUUGAGGUUUGGGAGGUGGUUUUUUUUGGGUUUCAAUCUGGACAUCUUACAUGCUUUGCCAUGGAAAUAGUACAUGCUUUGUUGUAUAUAGGAAUGAAUGAUGUGAACCCACCUGGAUUACUAGUCUGAUAGUCUCCGUUUGCAUAGACUUUUCUUAAUUCAAUUUUAGAUGCACACAGUUCUUUUUCCUGGAGCUUGCUUUCAGGUACUUGGAUAUUUCACACUUUCUCUAUGUUGGUCUUUUCCCUUUCAUGUAUUUUUCAGUUUGUUAGUUAUAGGAAGUGAUCAAGCACAUUCUUUGUCAUGGCUAUUUGGGAGGUUAACAGUGUCUCACUGUCUCUAUUCUCUAAAUUAGUUAAAGAUGCUUUUUGUUCAGAGCUUUUUAUUGUGUCUUUAAUUAGACAAAGAUAGUUUCUUUAUAGCAGUAGUGAACAAGGGUUUAAAGUAGAUGAUUUUCUUUUGAGUUUAUUGUUUUGUGCGUGUGUUGCAGUGUUAGAUAUUAGUAGAUAAGCUAAAGGUGAUGACGGAUCAGCCAAAAGCCAAGAGGUACAAAAAUCUCUGCUCACGGUUUACAACUAAUAAUACUCCAUCAAGUGAUAGUGACGAUGAGAUUGAGAUAGGGAGUGGGAGUAGAAAUGUGACUGUGGAUUGGCAUUGUUGACAGUUUUGGUACUCUAUGUGCGUGCAUACAAGGAAUGAAAGCAUUUCGAAGAGAUUGCCGAAGCUACAGAAUUCAAGAGAAUCACUUUAUAUUGUAUCAAUCUAUUAGCUCCGAUCGAUUAGUACUUUAUUAUGAUACAUUGUGGUGUAAUUUUGACACAAGUAAUUUUUCAUUGUGUUAAAUUUAGUUGUUACAAUUAUAAUCAAUCAAAACCUUCAUUUGACAUCUCUUUUUCAUUGUCUUCCAUUUUGUUUCAGUAGAAUGUACCUUGAGUAACAUUAUCAUAUCUUGAUCAGAGGCUUGGUUUCAUCUCUGGAUUUUGUUGCAUUAUUACCUUUUGGUUUGUGUCAAAGAUUAAAGAUAUGGUUAAAAAUUGAGAAAGAAAAAAGCUGAUGGAAAGAUACUUGAAUUUGUGAUGCUUAAACUACUAAGAUAUACUCAAUGAUCGAAUGUAAUCAUCAUAAAAAAAUAUUGUAGCACAGGUUACAUACAAAAGUUCGAUCAAAACAAGCUCUAAACAUGUCUUCGAUUCAGUUCUUAUAAAAUGCUCAUGUUAGUACUACAUCAUGAAACUUGCACACAUGACUUCAGUUCUCAUAAAAUGGUCCUCUUAAUACUGCAUCAAUGAAACCUGCACAAUUUAACUUCUGUAACUAUACUGUAAUUCAGGUUCAAUAUCAUCAACUCAAGCAUAUAAUAUUAAAAUACAGAACUAACCUCACUGAGGUUGUUGUCUAAGUGUAGGAUCAAUAGUCAAAGUCGCAGUUGGUGCAAGAUUCAACCCUGUAGUAUUCUACAAAUAUAGAACUAGUUUAUUUUCAAUAUAGCCAACUAAAAUGUAUGAAUGUACUAAGAUUUCAAAUAUACAUAUACCUGGUUUGAGAAAGGCAUCUGACCAUAACUAACAUGUGAAUGAGGAUGCUCAAAAGGCCAACUUAAAUUUCCCUGAAAGAGAAUGACAUGUAUGAAUAUGUUCAGUCUGUAAUACAUAAAGAAACAUACAUAUAAAGCUUCAAAAUGCAGACCUGAUUACUGAAUGUUGGGGUGUUGGGUACUCCAAACUGAUUACUCACUGUUGGGAUGUUAGGUACUCCAUACUGAUUACAGAAUGUUGGGAUGUUAGGUACUACAAACCGAUGAUUAUUGAAUGUAGACACAUCAGUUGGAGCUUUUGGAUCAUUAUUUUCUUGGUUUUCUUGUUCUGCAUCAGUAAAAAUUUCAGCUAUACAAAGUACACAAAACAAGAACUAUCAAUAUAAGCUUAUUUAAGAACUAUAUAAAAUAUGUAUGUACCUUUUGUUCUCUUCUUCCUUUGAUUUGUCUCCAUCACAUCUUUGAUUCUACUAUUUUUCAUUCCCUUAGUCUUUGCAUUUGGUGGGUUCAAAACUAGUGUCUCAUUACUAGAAAUGGUAGAGCCAGACUCAGCACCAAAAUUCUUCAGAUUUUCCAACACGUAAAGGGUGUCCUUGUCUUUUUCAAGACGCUUCAUUGCCUCUGUUAACAAAUGCUUGACAAUUUUAGUACCUAAACUAGUUAAUGAGGCUAUGUCAUACACAUUAUUUCCUUCAUGCAUCAAUUCGCUGAGGCGCAACACUCUAGCAGUCUUUAAAUUCUCACUUGUUCCUACACUUGUGUCACUGCUGACCACUACCGUACCCCUUUCUUUGCCUCUUUAGUCCACCUCUUCAAUAUAUACUGAGUUGGUAAAGUUGUGAUAUUAUUUGUAUCAAACACCUUCAAAGCAUGACGACACAAGAUCCCAACAGACUUAAAUGACUUACAAGAACAAGAUAUGCUCAAGGAUGUAGAGUUGUAUUCAAUCUUGUGCACACUUUCACGACCAUCUUCAAUUGCUUCAUAUACAUAAACUUGAUCUUUACUGGAAACUUCUUUUAGUCUAACUCCCAUACAACUAUAGAAUUCUGUUUCAAAAAACUGAAAAAUUUUGUUAGUAUAAACCUUGGCAGCACUGCUUAACAUCUUAGUCCAUACUUUUGGACGACGUGCACCAUUUUUGCUACGGUAGUCAUCUUCUAACUCUGUUAAACGCAACUCUUCAAUCUUUUUCUUAUAGUGAUGAACAAAUUUAAUAAGCUCCAUUGUGUGUGUAGAAAUUCCUUGGAACACAUUGUUUGUACUUUCACUCCUUUGAGUAGAUCUAAUCCUUGCCGAAAAAGUGUCCAAAUUAAAUGCUGCACACCACUUCUGUCGGAGUGAAUACAACUUUGCUAGCCAAGGAUUAUUUCCGAGAUUAUAUCUACCAAUCAAGUUAUCCCAUAAAACCUGAAAUUCAAUUUCAGAACAGCACCCAUGUAAACAAUGGUUGAAUUGCUUCUUGAACUCUGGAUUUCCAAGAUAACUACCAAUUUUCUUUCGGCAUUCUUGCCAAUAUGCCAAGUGCACAAUCAAUGGGAUGCACCUGGAAACACUAUUUUAACUGCCUUUGCCAUUGCUUUAUCUUCAUUUGUGAAAAUAGUUUUUGGUGCUUUAUUUCCCAUCGACUCCAAAAAGGAUUCGAACAACCAAACAAAAGACUCUGUAGUCUCAUCUAAUAGAAAUGCACAUCCAAACACAACAUUUCUCCAAUGAUGAUUAACUCCAACUAUUGGAGCACAAAUCAGAUCAUACUUGUUUGUACGAAAUGUUGUAUCAAAGCAUAUAACAUCACCAAAACAAUCAUAAUCUGACUUUGCUCUACCAUCCCUCCAAAAGAAGUUUAUCAUUCAGCUAUAUUGGUCCAAUUGCAUUGAAUAGAAAAAGUUAGGGUCCUCACCUUGUUUGUGCUUAAAGUGAUUCAGCAAGCUUUGUGCAUCACCUGCUUCCACCAUUUCAUUCUUUUUUCUUUGCAAGUAGUUGUAGACGUCUUUCUUAGUGCACCCAACAUUUUCUGAACCACCCACUUCAUUUGCUAUGUAAAAAAAUGCUUUUGUUGCUCCUAUUCUUGCAACUUUCAUGGAAGUAAAAACUUGUCCACAAGCAUCUGUUACUUUUCGCCCAGAUCUCAAAAAUUGCCUUUCUUCAGGGUUUGCAAGCUCAUGGUUAUGAUCUGAAUUGAUAUGUGAUAUUGUCCAUAUCCCAUCUUUCACAAUAAACGAUAUCAUAGCCUUGCAACCGACUCUUGUUUCCAACUUCCUAUGUUUGGUUGGUUCAAACACAUCUUGGUCUUGUGCAAACCCUUCCUUUGAACAUACAAACUCUCGUAACCGGAUGUUAUUUGAUGCAUCUCUUCUAAUAUGUGACUUACGAACACUGAAACCCUUCCUCAAAGCAUAGGUAUUAUAUAAAUUGUAAGCCUCCUCAUCUGAGUGUACUUGAGUUCCCACUUUGAGUUCUUCAUCGUCUUCAAUUAUUUCCUCCAUUCUUUCACAAGCCAAUUUAACUCUGUAAAACACAAAAAAGUUUAAGCAAAUUUUUGGUCAAUUGCAUAGGACUUUCAAGUAUCAAUGAUCAUUAGUUAAUGAGAAAAUCUAUUAGAUUAGAAAAACCAAUCGUACAAACACCAAAUCACACAGUGAUUGAAUAAUCAAAAUCUAAAGGAUCAGUUUAAGUAUCAGUUUAUAUACAACCACUUUUAAGUAUUGGUUUAUAUACAACGUCUUCAUUACUCAUCAAUUCUUUGUGUCAAGUUCACACAGAGGAUCAUGACAAAUCCAAAACAAUCGAACCCAAAUACUCAUAAGAAAAGCAAAGAAAUACUAACCUGAAUCAAAUUGCUUAUCGAGAUGAUCUUGUAUUGAUUAAAUUGAGCAAUCAUGAGAACGAGCUAACAGGUCGAGAAAGACUGGUUUUGGUGAAUCUGAAAAUUGAUUAUCAGUAAUGAGGAGACCCUAAUCUGAAAAUUGAGUGAGAGGAACAAGAAGUCGUCCACUGUUUGUUCUUCCCCAGAUUAGAAAAACACCUAGAAAUCCUAAUUUAGCUAAAACUCGGCGGGAUAAUGAAAUUUCAACUUUAAACUUGGAGCCUUUUUCGUAGUUUGCUGGCGUGGAAAAAAAUCAAGACGUAGCACUUGUUGGUUGGCUGGUCGCACAUGCCAGCUGGUGCGGCUGUUGCACGGAAGAUUUUCUCUUGUUUGUAACGAUCGCCGAACAAUCGACAACACUAUUAUCUGAACAAGAAUUUAAACCAAAAACAAGAAUAAAUCAAAUCUAAAAACCCGUCAUAUGGGGUAUCUGUAGAAAAAAAAAAAAUUAAUGACAUACUUGUAAUAAAAACAGUUAUGACUUGUAAUCUUAGUCUAUAAAGUUGGACGCACCGACUUGUAAUUGACAUUUGUAGAAUGAUCAUAUUUAAACAAUUACACAUAAGCAUAUCAAACCAAUUCAAAGUGGACAUGAGAGAAAGAGCUUACCUGAGGAACCGGUAAUACAAUUAUUAGGUCGAUUAAAAAGUUUCCAUGGAGAUAAUUUAGAGCGAUUUUUUUUGGUUGGUCUACUAUUUCUCCUGGACCAACCAUUCUAGACCUAGGAACUUCAUAAGCCAGCCUAAACUGCCAUGCAUAAGCAAUAAAAAUUUAGAAAGGCUCAAACAGACAAGAAAAAGAAAAAAACAACAAUUUAUUUAAGAUACCAAUUGAAUAAUACAGAUUUAGAAUGACAUUUUUAAACAGAAUAUGUCAUGCACUUACUUGGAUAAGCAUGUGUAACAGAUAUAUAGUCUGUCACAGUCCGUAAAAACACCAGUAGUAUGGUUUUAUGCCAGUCCAUAAAUAUGCACUUCUGAUCCUGCAUUUUAAGAAUACAGAUACCCCUCUAUUAAAAAAAGAAUAGAACGGGAAACAAAUUUACAUACUAAAGCAAUUUUCGAACGGCUGUUAUUUUUUCUUUUUCUUUUUAAUAAGAAGAAGAAAUUUCUGCUUCAAGAAUAAUGCAGUCUCAAAAUUUAAUGCAAACAUAUUUUAAAGUGAUGACAUCAAGUGAGAGAAAAACAAAGAUAUAGAAAGAGAGAAAGAAAAAAUAGAUUGUUCCGCGCUCGCAGAGGCCGCCGGAAUGGUAGCUUCUAGCAGAGGCAACCGGAAUCAAUAGGAGGAUCGGAUACCGUUGUGGGUUUUCGGGUCAAGGAACAAGGCCGAUUAGUUUGAGUUUUUCUACACCUUGUGAUAUCUCGAUAUUUCUAUUUCAAAUAAGGAAGAUUGAGAGAGAAAAUCGAGGGUUCAAGGAGGAGAGCAGAGAGCAUAUUGGGGAAGAAGAAGAUGAGAUGAUGAGGAAGAUGGAGAUCACGCGCCGUGAAAAGAAACGUUUGUGAUCCCUCACUGGGUCAACUGAAGAACCUUCGGCCGAAUAGCUGUUUCUUCUUCAACACCCUAUUUCAAUCGAAUUUGGUCGGCGCCUUUGCAGAUUUACACUCUAACACAGUGGAUUUGAGUUUUUUUGGCACCAAAUUUUGUUAGCGCGUAUAGUACAUGCGCCGUUUAGGAAAGAAGAAGACGCAUCAGAAGAUACCGAUGCCGAAGCCUCACCCUGUGAAUGGAAGAAUCUCCGACGUGCAAGAGAGAGAAAACAAGAUAAAGAUAAAAUACCAUUUCUCUCUCUCUCGUCCCCACUCCCCCAAGUGUCCAAACCCCAACUCCCCAAGUGUCCAAAUUAAUCCCUAACUCCCCAAGUACCAACCAUAGCCAGGCCGGACCUGAGAUUUCAAGGUCUGAGAUGAGUUUUAAGAAUGGUGUCCUCUAAUGACCGGAAAGCUUCACCUUGAGCAGAGGAGUUUGAGGAGACCAGUAAUGAGGAAUAAAACUGGCAUAAUGGUUUAGAAGUUUGGGAGCAAAACCCAGUUUUUAGAGACGGAGGGGCCCACUAACUUAACAGUGAGGAGAGGAAAAAAGAAGAAGUUAAAAGAUAAACAAGUGGUUAACCCUUCUCUCCUCUUCUAAACCACAAAAAUCCAGUUUUUAUUAUCAUCGACAACCAUCACUGCUCAUCAUCAUCCCCGUUUCAAACUUCUCUCUCUCCCUUCUCUUCUCUUCUAAACCCAACCAUUUCCUCUGUUUUUCAUUUCAAAAAACCAAAACCCAAACAAUUAUAGCUUUAAGCUUUAGUUUCCAUGGCUAGCAGACUUUUCUAAUCCCUCCUGCUCAAGGCAGCUACCGGAUUUUGGUGCCCCCAGAUUUUUGGGGCCUGAGGCAGCCGCCUCGUCGGCCUCACCUCAGGUUCGGGCCCAAGGAAGAAAAUUUCGGUGAUUACGGAAAUUUUGACCCUCCAAAAUAUGGAAAUUUCGACGGAAAUUUCGGGGAAAUAUCGAUUGCAGUAAAAAAAUUGAGAAAAUUGACGGAAAUUUGAAGAAAAACAAGGAAAUUUUAAACCAAACUUUAAGAGAUGUUUGUUUUCUAUAUUAUGUACUAUAUUUGAAAUGAAAACCUUGAAUAAACAUCGAUCUAUAAGGAGUUGUAGUAAGUUAAGGUGAAAAAGUUAGUGCUGAACCGUUAAUAAUUCUUAGAAGUUUACUUUAAACAUUUUUUUUUUAUGGCUGGAAACCCAAAGGAGGCUAGGUCAUCACGCUUUAUAUACAUAUGAUAUAUUUCACAUGGAAUUACAUGAGUACUUUAAAACCACGUAGAAGACCUAUGAUGUACAAAAUUUUCAUUAUCUUUAUCGUCUCUCUGUGUAGAGCCUUCAGUAUAUUGUGAAGAAUAGUCAUUAAAUAAUACCUCACCUUUAUAGAUAUAUUAAAAAUGAAUUAAGAAGUGUAGGUAAAAAAUCUUUUUUAUGGAAGUGUAGGUAAAAAAAUUAGUUGGAGAUUAGACAUUUACCUAAUUUUUUACUUUUCAAAUUAAAAAAACCAAUAUAUAUUAUAAAGAUACUAUAAUAAACAAGUUAAAUGGUUAGUAGGGUUGGUUAAGUUGUUAAUCUUGUACCAACCCGACCCAGGCUCGACUCACCUUCGCAGCAAAAUUCAAAGUCAAACAUUUCGGCAGGAAAGUAAGUUUUGCAGUGUUCAAAGUCAGGGGAAACAAUCAUUCAAAUUUGGGCGGGAAAGUGGGAAACCAUUUCAGCUUCGACUUUUCGGUGGGAUUUCAAAGUUUCGGCGAUAUUUUCGAAAUAUCGCGAUAUAUCGGAAAAUAUCGAUUAUUUCGGACGAAAAAUUCUGAGAAUGAAAAUAUAUAUCACCGUGUGAUAAAAACGAAAUUUUCGGCGAUAUUUCGACGAAAAUUUCGAUUUUUUCUUCCUUGUUCGGGCCUGACCAUAGCACAAUCGUUGUCUGCUAUUGUUGGGUCGCCGAUAUAGUUUUCUUAUUGGAAACUAUGCACUUUAUGUUAAUGCCUAGAGAACCCUAUUCCUCCAAAAAAGAAGAAGCCGGUGUCUAACAAGAAGCUGAAGAAAGAGAGGCUGAAGCAAGGCGUCUCUGCUCCAGCAGGCGAGUAAAUAUGGAAGAAAGACCGCAACUCUGCAUGCAUGUUGAGCUCACAUAUGUUGAGAGUUUGUUCUUUCAUUUCCCUUAAUACUAGAUGGAAUUGGACUUAGUAAUUGGAACCCUGUAUUGAUCUAGCAACCAGGGAGUGAGAAUGUUGUUCCUAAGACAGUUUUUAUCUUCAAAUUUUCUUUCUUAAACAAGUAAUAAUCAGACCUCAGAACUUAGAAUGAGUUACUUUGCCAAAUAAAAUAAAAAAUAAAAAAACAUAACAGAAAGAAAGGGAAGAAAAAGAAAAAGAAUAAAAAGAAAUAUUCUGAACCAUCAAUACUUUGUCUCUGUUCCUCAUGUGCUAGAAUAAACGAAAACAUCUAACUGUUUGUGAAAGAAAAAGAAAAAAAAACAUGUAAACUAAGACUAAUGCAAAAAGAAGGAAAAUAUACCUCAUGUGAAUAUAGCAGAAAGAAAUGUAGUGGAUCUACAAAAACCGCGACCAUGCAAGAUACUACAAAAAACUUGUUUUAUCUUCAAACAACUUUGUUAUCAGGUUCACAAUCCCGAUAACAUAGGGAUGCAAAAAAAAACAUGUUCCUUUAAACAAACUCAACAAAUUCUUUUUGUAUGACAUAUUUGUCUAUCGCUAAAUAUGAAAUGAGUGAAAUGUCGAUGAGGAUGAUUGUGAAGUUGUUUGGAUUUAAAUGUAUAAUGAGGUACGGAUCGGAGAGAUGGGAGAAUGGGAAGUUCGAUAUAUGUAUUAGAUGAGUGAACUCAAUGAGGAUGAAGUUGUGAGAUUUAUGAUAUGGGAAGAUCGAUGCCUUAUAUAAAGAAGAGGACUAGAGGAGUGAUGUUGAUAUCACUGGAAUCAAUAUGUUUGGCCAUGUUUUUAAGAAAUGAUUGUUUUUAGUUAGGGACAGAAAAUUUUCAUGCCUAGUUGUGCAUGUAUUACCUAGAGACACAUUAUAUAUAUGAUGGUGUGCACGGUAAAAAGGCAUAUGAUAACGACUUCAAGGAAAGCAUUCAAAUUUUCUCAAAACUAAAGUAACACUUUAUUCUCCCAUAUUUCUAUCUUCAACUCUCUUUAAUCUUUCAUUCAAUUGGAAGAUUAACAUAAGAGAUGAACCAGUCUUGGUGGACCCAUAAUCACAUCCAAGCUUCACCGAAAUCAAAUCCUCUGUCUUCCUAAGCGAGGAUGGAUCAAGAACAUUAUAUGUAAGGGAUAAUUCAAAUUCAGCACUUUCUGGAAAGCAAUCUGAGAAAUCCCCAUGGGGCUUUUGUUGGGCUUUAUCCUAUUGUCUUUCUUCAAUCUUCAUCUAUUGUUCGUCUUUGUCUUAUACCCAUCUUCUUCCGUUCUCUGAUUCUGUGCAACUUUGAUCUUUAUCUUUGUCUUAAUCUCAUCCUGUAAUAAGUUUUUGACCCACUUUCCCUUUCGAUUUCUUUUUCUCUAUAAAUAUCUCUCUUGAGUCUCAUACACCCAAUCCCAAUUACAGUCAUUCAAUCUCGUCCUUCAUCGGCUCAUGUACAAACAAUGUUUUUUUUAGGAGCCACUCUACCCAGAACCAUCGGUGGUAUACUUUGGAAAAUAAAGUAUGUAAAUCAAUCUGCCACUUGCCCAUUGCAUCACCAAUAAUCGACACACCCAUUGAAAUCGAUUGAACCAGAUUGAAAUACUGAGAUGCAAGAGUGAAUUGAUUUUUCAGAGAAAAGAAAAUAUCAGAUCUAGAAGAAGAAGAAGAUUCGAAUGAAGUUAACAGAGCAAUUGACGUUAGUUCCUGCCAUUUGCUUGCUUGGAAAAAAAAUACAAACGUGUCAACACGAGUGGAUGGUCGUAUGAAUGACGUGGUGCGAGUGCCGCACCUAAGAGUAAGUCCACCCCAAACUCCAAAACUGUGACCCAGACCUUUAGCCAUCUCAAAUAAAGACUCAGACAAAAAAAAACCAAAUCCACCUAUAGAAAAAAAUGAUAACCCAAUCUUUAUUAGAUCAAGACCUGAGUUAGACUCAUAACCAGGCAGAAAAAUGAAGGCCCGGGCCUUCCCUCUCCAGCUCAGCCCACUUGCAUGGGUUUGCAUGACGUCAGCCAUGUUAGAAGACUUGGAGAGAUGAAAGAAGACGCGUCUUGAUGUGGGUGAAGAACACAGACCAAUUGUUGAUGAAAGAGGACGCGCGGGGAACUCAUUUUGUCGCCAUGCGGGGUUAGUGGAUGGGCCACAUGCACGUUCCAAACCUUCACACACCCAUUUAUGUGAAUCUGAUGGUAUAUAUUUAACAACCAAAUAUUUUUAUUACAGAAAUAAAUAGGAAUUAUAAGUUAUAGUUUUAUUUUUUUGGAAUUUUAAUUUCUUCAACAUCCCACAAAAAAAAAAUUGUGCAUUUUAGAUCCAAUUUUUCAUAUCCCUAGCAUUGCUAUUUAUUUAUAAAAUUUUCAUAAAUUUGUCAUAUUAAAUAAUUCCGUGGAAUAAAUAUUUUUAAUAAAUAUUAAACAGUCACUGUCACGUGGUGACCCAAAAACUAAAAUCAUGGGUGGAAACUACAGCUCAAAAUCACUGCCACGUGGCGACCUAGGUCUCGCCUAAGACCCAGACCUUCCCAACGAAGACCUAGAAGGUGGACUUGUUCUAAGAUGACACGGUGUGAGUGCCCCACGCAAGAAUUGCUCCCUGGACCGUGACCACGUGUUUUGGAUAGGGUAAUGCACUACAAAAAAUAUGCGUAAAAGCGACAGUUUUUUCCCCACAUUUUCAGUUUUCGUGGGAGUAUAGUACUGAAUAGUGUCAACGUUUGAAAUCUUUCGAACUCUCCCACGCAAGUCGCAACUUCGAAUUCGUGGAGUAUAAAACAAUAAAAAAUUGUUCUGUAUGGGUAUUUAAUUCUGACACUCUAUUUUUUUUUCCAGUUUAUAAUUCUAAAUUCAGUAAACACCACGCUUUUAACAAUUAGUGGGAAGUAAAUAAUAAAAUAUUAUGAUAGUGUGGAAUUAUGAUGUUGAAACGAUGUAAUUAUCAUGACAUUUUAGUUUCUUACCCGUUUUUAGUAAUUAAUUCAUUUGAAUGUCCCACAAAUAUGCACAAAACGUGAGAACUUAUCUGUACAAGUACAACUGUUGNNNNNNNNNNNNNNNNNNNNNNNNNNNNNNNNNNNNNNNNNNNNNNNNNNNNNNNNNNNNNNNNNNNNNNNNNNNNNNNNNNNNNNNNNNNNNNNNNNNNNNNNNNNNNNNNNNNNNNNNNNNNNNNNNNNNNNNNNNNNNNNNNNNNNNNNNNNNNNNNNNNNNNNNNNNNNNNNNNNNNNNNNNNNNNNNNNNNNNNNNNNNNNNNNNNNNNNNNNNNNNNNNNNNNNNNNNNNNNNNNNNNNNNNNNNNNNNNNNNNNNNNNNNNNNNNNNNNNNNNNNNNNNNNNNNNNNNNNNNNNAUCUAUAAACAAGAUAAACAAGAAAUGGAGUAAAAAUUUCAACAAAGAUUAAUUCCUGGUACACUUUCAUCUUUCUUAACAUCUUAUGGCAUUGAUAUUGACUGGAAUAGCUCACAAAUAAUUUGCAGAUUGCAACUCUAGUUAAAUCCAAUUUGUCAAUACUGCACUUUAAUGCAUCAGGACUCGAGCCUAGUUGUUAUAUAUACUUCUAUAGUAAAGCUAGUAUUAGUAUAUGUGAACAAAGUUCAAAUCUGUGCGUAAGAAUGAUCCUUUCUAAGUUUCUCAUCUGUAUUAUUUGAAUGUCUGCAGUUUGCGAUACCAUUUCCACCCUGUGACAGGUGGAUGCUGAAGUUUUUAGUAAUCCAGCAAUGAUUUUGAAGAUGAAAUUGACCAAUCUUCCAUGGAGACUAUAAAUCAUUCAGAAAGGGUCCCUAAAAUGUAAAAUUGUUUAGAAUUACAUAUGAAAGCUUGUAGUGCCUUUGAUUCCAUGACUGAAAUUUACAGGGUUAGCAUUUCUGGCUUACUAAAGCUUGUACUGGCUCCCACCAUAUAUGCCAAGAUGCUUAGAAGAUUUCUGCCAAUCUCUUUAUUUUGGCGUAUGUAAGGAUCAAAAACUGACAUGAUUGCAACCUAAGAGCUAUAAAAUUUGAUCAAAAUUUUCUCCAAUUCAGUCAUAUAUCAUGCUAGUCAAGUUCAUCAUGUUGUUUGGAAACAAUGUGACUUAUCAUGCGAAUUUCACGUCACUUAUCACACAGAAACGCUCUUACCAACCUCUCCGUAACCGAGUUUGGUUGAUUCUUUCAUACGUUAAACUCUCACACAGAUGAGACGUUACACAUAAAAAUUUGAAAACGUUUGAUUCCUGUUGAUACGGCUCCCCAUAAGGAAGAUUAAGGGUAAAAAAGGUUGACCGUUUUUAUCGGUACCCAAAAGUUACUCGAAAUAUGUGAUUUUUCAACCAUAGCCGUAUUUCACUAUUCCGAUCACAUCUUAUUUACGAGAUUUUUGCUUCCUUUGUACAGUUGGUUUACAAAAUUGUACACUUGCAUAUAACCUACUAAACAAGUUAUAUCACAUUAGUAGACACGUUGUGAUUUCGAUGACUAAAAUUCUCAAAAUGAAAAUUCCACAGUCUGAUAUGAUCAUUAUAGUAAACCAUGUCUAUGGUAUAAAAUUCAACUCUAUUCGGUAGCGUUCGGGGCUCGAUCGAAGCGGUCAACCAUAAUAUAUCGUCACUUAUCACACGGAAACGCUCUUACCUACCUCUCCACGACCUAAUUUGGUCAAUUCUUCCACACGUUAAACUCUCACAUAGAUGAAACGUAACCACACAUAAAAAUUUGGAGACGUUUAACUCUCGUUGAUAGGGCUCCCUAUAGGGAAGAUUAAGCGUAAAAAAGGUUAACUGCUUUUAUCGGCACCCAAACGUUAACCGAAAUAUGUGAUUUUUCAACCAUAGUAGCUAAACACUAUUUUGAUCACAUCUUAUUUCACGAGAAUUUUGAAAAUUUUACUUCCUUUAUGUAGUUGGUUUAAAAAGUUGUACACUUGCAUAUAACCUAUUAAAUAAGUUAUACUAUAUUAGUAGACACGUUGUGAUUCCGAUAACUUAAAAUCACAAAAUGAAAAUUCCACCGUCUGAUAUGAUCAUUAUAGUAAAUCAUGUCUAUGAUAUAAAAUUCAACUUGAUUCGGCAACGUUCGUGGCUCGAUCGAAGCGGUCAACCCUAAUAUAUCGUCACUUAUCACACGGAAACGCUCUUACCUACCUCUUUGUGACCUAGUUUGGUUGAUUCUUUCACACAUUAAACUCUCACAUAGAUGAGACGUAACCACAUAUGUAAAAAUUUGGAGACGUUUACCUCCCGAAAAUAGGGCUCCUUAUAGGGAAGAUUAAACGUAAAAAAUGUUACUGUUUUUAUCGGCACCCAAACGUUACCCGAAAUACGUGAUUUUUCAACCAUAGCUAUAUUUCACUAUUUUGAUCACAUCUUAUUUCACGAGAUUUUUGAAAAUUUUGCUUCUUUUGUGUAGUUGGUUUACAAAGUUGUACACUUGUAUAUAACCUAUUAAAUAAGUUAUACUAUAUUAGUAGACACGUUGUAAUUCCAAUGACUAAAAAUCAUAAAAUGAAAAUUCCACCGUCUGAUAUGAUCAUUAUAGUAAAACAUGUUUAUGAUAUAAAAUUCAACUUGAUUCAGCAACGUUCGGGGCUCGAUCGAAGCAGUCAACCCUAUUAUAUCGUCACUUAUCACACGAAAACACUCUUACCUACCUCUUUGUGACCUAGUUUGGUCGAUUACUCCACACGUUAAACUCUCACAUAGAUGAGACGUAACCACACAUAAAAAUUUGGAGACGUUUACCUCCCGAAGAUAGGGCUCCCAUAGGGAAGCAUAAACGUAAAAAGAGUUGACCGCUUAUAUUGGACUCGGACUUUACCCGAAAUACGUGAUUUUUCAACCAUUGCCGUAUUUGACCAUUCCGAUCACAUCCUAUUUCACGUGAUUUUUGAAAAUUUUGCUUGCACUGUAGAGUUGGUUUAUAAAGUUGUACACUUGUAUAUAACCUACCAAACAAGUUAUACCACAUUAGUAGGCACGUUGUAAUUCCGAUGACUAAAAAUUACAAAAUGAAAAUUCCACCGUCUGAUAUGAUCAUUAUAGUAAAACAUGUCUAUGAUAUAAAAUUCAACUCGAUUCGCAAUGUUCAGGGCUCGAUCGAAGCGGUCAAUAUCUUAUGACACUACUAGCAGCCUGAUCUUUAUUAGCAUUUUUCAUGGCCACGUUUUUCAUGGCCGAGCUCAUCUCACCCCUGUACUGUUCGUAAAGUUUCCUCCAGUUGUUCAAGCAGUGUUUGGGGACUUGAUUAAUGUCAAAAAUAGGAAGUUUCUUGAUUUCUGAACAAGGAUACAGAGGAAAAUCAGUAUGUUAAAAGUUGAAAUAAAUCAUUUUUUAUCUAAAGUUAUAAUUUGAUGGAAAUUUCAUAACUUUGAAAUACUAAAAGGAUUUGACAUGGGAACAUCACAGAAAGCUAUCAUAACCUUUGACAGAAAUUGGUUCAUGAUCAACAUUAAACAUUAUCUACCAUCAAAUUUUAAAAGAUUUUGGUUGAUUUAUAACAAUCCAUAGAUUCUGCUAAUUCUAUGGAUUGUUUUAAUUCCAUAUGGAGUUUAACAAAUUUUAAUAGAUUGAUUUAUUAGUAUUCUUUUAGACUUUUAUAAGUCCACAGAUUGUUGUAACGGCAAUAAAUAAAAAAAAGUUUCUUAAAACACAAACAAUACAGUAAAAACGAUGAUGACUUGAAACAUAAUGCUCUGAUACAAUAGUAUAUAGGUUACUAGUAUCACAUCAUACAGAGAACUGUAUCAAAUCCAAUCUCUCUGUUUGUGAUCAACUCCCCUAUAAUUGAAUAUUCAAGGAACAAUUUUCCCAACAUAAGCACUCAGAAAAAUAGAUUUUCAUCACCAUCUAAAAGCUAUCUAGCAUUAUUAACCAGAUGCAGACCCAUAAUUCUUCCCACACACAAUUAGCUGCAACUCGUCACAACCAGAAAUUAAAGAAUACCAACACCAGCAAUGGCAUGGAGGACGUUUGCAUCAACACCCUUGAACAAGGACUUAGCACCCACAUUCUUCAAGAUCUGAGUGAAGGCUUCAAAACUCUUGUACUCGACAGCUUCACCAGAGGUCAUUAUCUACGAACAGUGUCAAUUGGGUAGGAAGAUAGACCAGCACCAUUUCUGAUGACCUAGGAGAAGUACUACAAGUCAAAAACAAAAGGAUGAUUAUCAAAAACAAAAUGAUGUCAGCUGGAAUACCUACAAGCCAUAAGAAUCUAGUCGUGGACAAAUAAAGUAAAUAUAAAUACAGCUUCCGCCAACACACUGAAGUUGCAUAUCCUUGGAAUCAAACCACCAAUAUAGGAUAAAUAGAAUUUGCAAGCACAUAAAAGUACAAAGAAUACCAAUCAAAUUACUACAGGCCUUAUGAUAUAAGUGUCACUACAACGCUUAAUAAGAGUUCAAAAAUGAAUGAUCCACUGAUCCAUGAGUGACCACACUAACACUUGAGUAAUACAGGACCUCAAUACUUUCCUACUAAAAUAACCAUUUUAAACAGUAGUAUAAGGGUAUUCAGAAUUUCAGAUAUGAUACAUGAGUAGCAUAUAUUAAGAUCGCAAAUUGAAGAAAACAUAUAUAUCUCUCGUAGUUAGAAGAGAUGGGACAACAGUUGGAUAAUGACAUAACUAAUCUUUGGUUUUCAAAGUUUAUCUGCCCAUCCAUUCAAAACAAACGAAUCAUUAUUAGCCGCUAAACAAAUCACAGAGUCAUUCCUUUUACCCUCAAAGUUAUCAAUGUUGUUCUUGUAACUAGGCACGUGUUGCUACAAACAAUUCCCCUUAUACACACCCUGACCUACAGACAUAUAUACCAAUAUCCAACACUCAAACAAUUCCCCUUAUACACCCUGACCUACAGGUUUGUCUUUCUCAAGUUCAGACUAUCUUAGCAUACUGGAAAUCAUAUGCCAUCAUUCUGAGAGAAAUUUGUACAGCCUCCUCAAUCUCAAGCUAACUAGCUCUUAUAAUCAAUGCACUCAGUUAUGCGCCCUACGUACUUCUCUCUCUUUUUCCUCUACAAAACUUGAUGCUUUGGCCGUCAACCAUGAAACUGUUUCCAGGAAAGAUAAUGUACUGCAAUCAUCUACUUGUUCGUGCAAACCAUUGAGUUCAGACUUCAGAUACACCAUGUGUAAUGUGGAUUUUUGUGAUAGAGAUAUUUCCCUAAAUUAUUUAUUCUAUUAGUCAAAACCUUGUUAAAAACAUAAACUAGCAGCUUUUAAUGUCUUCCUGUAGACAUCAACCUUAGGUUUCAAAUUCUAGCUUGAUUCGAUUAGUUACACAAUCAACCUAAGCAAGUGUUCGACAUAAUGAUUCUGAAACAAAUGCGACGUACAAUACCAGCACGAACCCCAACAAGAAAUAUGAGAUUAAGAUUCAAAUACGAACAGAAAAGAGAAACAAAGAGCAUGAUUGAUACCUUUCGAGUGAAAUAUGGAUCAUUGGCGAGAACGAUGGUCUCGAAACUGAGUCGUUUGAAUCGUUCGCAGCGGUUGAUUCCUUCGUUUUCAACGGAGGCACCGCCGCCGCUGUAGAUCUUUGACUCGGAAGAACAUCACUCAGAGCCUCAUCGAGCUUUCGACUUGAAGAACAACCUACCGAGGAGAGAACCCAGUGAGCUCUCCUCAGACUCCAUCAAAAUCUCGUGGGAGAGGCCAGAUUUCUUAAUGGAAUUUGUAUUUAUACCUAGCCCUCUAAAAUCCAUCAAAAUCUAACAACUGAUGGAAUCCUUGAGAAUCUAUAGAGUUUUGAAUACCCUCGUAUUUUGAUGGAUAUUUUAAAAUCUGAAUCGAAUACAUCAAGAUUUAUAAGGAGUUUUUAAAAUUUGAUUGAAUACCCAUAGAUUUUCAGAAUCCAAAAAAAUCCAACAGACUCCCAAUUGAAUACACCCCCCUAUGUAGUUCAAGUCUCACCUUGGAACCUCUCACAGAAUUGUCUAUAAGCAUCAGAAGGAGCAGACAGGAUUUCAUCGGGAGAAGGGGAGGAACAAAGUGAUUGUCCAUUGCACAAUGUCGCCGGCAAUGGAUUGGAAGUCUCACCUGCACCACACAAACACACAAAACUCACUAAUUUGCUUAAAUUUCAUCAUAAAUUUCGGCUAAUCACUAAAAGCAUCAACUAGAUUAUAAGUCUAACCCUGAGACUGAAAACUUAAAUAAAAUGGUGCAUCAGUAACUACGACCUUUACCAUCAGACUUGCUUUGACAAGAAUAAGUGUGUGCCACUUUCACUGGAGAAUAAGGUGAUUGUGUAUUGUUGUUGUUUCUGGGUUGCUCUAGAACAGUAAAUGCCUCACCUGCACCAAAAGCUUUAUUAUAGUCAUAUAACAGCAUUGACCACCAACAAAAUGAAUCAACUUGAGAGAGUGAAAGUAGUGACAAACCUUGAAACCCAUCAUCAAGUUGGCCAGGACCAGACAGUCUUUGAGAAGAAGUGCGUGCAAGUUUCAUCGGAGAACCCGAUGAAUAAGGUGAUUGACCUCUAACAGGUGGCAGGUGAUUAAAUGCCUCACCUGCACCGAAAAUCUAGUCAUAUAACAGUGAUGACAACAAGUCCAGUAGUCCACAACCAAAUGAAUCAACUUGAGAAAGCAAAAUAUGACAAACCUUGUGACUUCUCAUGAACUUGUGCAUGAGUAGACAAUCUUUGAUAAGAACAACUCCCUGUUGCUUUCGAUGGAGAACCAUAGCAGUAAGGUAACCUGUCACUAACUGCCUCACCUGCACCAAAAUCCUUAACACUAUCACACACAAAACACUCAUAUGACCACAAUGCAAUGCAUCAAAAUAGAGAACGCAAGAAGCACAACAAACCUCGAGACCUCUCAUCAACUUGUACAUGAGCAAUAAAGCUUCCAUCACAGCUUCCGGGUUGCUCCACAACACCAUACACCUCACCUGCACCAAAACCCACAGAUCCAGUUUCCCUCACUAUAUCAAACCCACAGUAAAGAACACUGGAGACCAUCAUAUAUACCCCAACCCUGAACAUGAAGUGAUGAAAACUAUACCGAACCGGGAUCGAUCCAUGAACAUAAAUCAAUCAGAACUAACAAACCCUAAACAUUGGUAAGGCUGACGAGAUUAAUAAAUGGUAAACGGCGUGUUGUGUAAGCUUCGGCAAUGUAGACUGUAGAGUGGAGUUAAUUGAUUGAUAGGUUCAUAACUCUGAAGCAUGCAACGCCAUUUGUUUUUGGUCUUUUCCUAUCAAAAAUCCUACACUUCUAGUCCAAUUAUUCUUUAAUCCUGCACAUAAUCUGAUGCUAAUUUACCAAAACUAAAGAUCCUGAGCUCAAAUCAAGAACAAAAUCAACACUAGAACUCGACUCGACCCGAGAAUCGAAAUGGUACCUUGCUGAUUGGUCCCUGAAGGAGAGAGUGACGCUCUCCGAAGCUUCUCCGCUGGGCUUGUUCACCUAGAUCCACGAGACUUCAUCGGAAACCUCGGCAUCCGGAUCUGCGGCGCCGCCGAUCUUCGUGACCAGCCGGACCUUUCGCGAUGUGCUGGAGCGGCGUUUAGGGGUUUUGGUGAGGUCGGGGUUGCCGGAAGCCAUGUGAAAAAUUAGGUCUGGGAGAAAUUAGGGUUUCAAAUUCGAGAUCUGAAAGCUUCGAAAUUGAGAGAGAUGAGAGCAAAGGCCAGUUGGGAAUUGAAAUUGGGGGAAAUUGAAAUUUAGAGAGAACUAAAGCGGGGAGUGGGCGGAAGCAAAGAUGAAUAGGAUAGUCACCCACGCACGACGCGCCUCGCUAGGCGUGCUUACAAUUGACAGUUAAAACGAGUUAAUUACCUUUUCAUUUCCGUCAGAAAACAAACGCGGAGCACAGACGCUCCGGAGCAUUCCAGACGUCUCCUCUCCUUCUAUCUUCUCCUCCCUUCUUUCUUUGUCUGUAACUCAUCAAAGCUUCAUUGUUCAUUCUUCCUUCAUAAACGUUUUUAGCUGAAAAACGUAUCUGUGGUGAACUCGAAAACGAAUCUCUCUUAGCCGGUGUACAGAAAUAAAGAAGUCUUUCACACUACCAGAAAUGUGGGCAACAAACACCAUCAUAAUGAUGUGCAUUGAACCAAUGGAAACUAAUCAGUGGUGUGGAUUCAUGAUAGCCACGGCCCUAGCCACUAUUAUGAGAUUAGUUUGCAUUGCUGGCGUGGCUUUUCCUAACAAUACACUAUCAUCUUUUUGGUGACUACAUAUAUACUCACUAAUUCAAUCUUUGGUGACUUCAUUGAAUUAAUAAAUAAAAAAAUAUUCAGCUAUAAAACUCUAUGGGUCCUACAUAUUCAGCAAAAGCAUCUUCAAAACCAGCUUCUUUAAAUUCAAAACCGCGAUCUCUAUCUCGUCUCUAGUAUCUCCUGCAAAGCAACAACAUGGGCAAAGAUUACUUGGCUAUAAAUCACCCCUCAUAAUUUUAUUUCCUUCAUAUAACAGAUGAUAUGUAUCUUGUGGAAAUAAAAUCAAUGUAUCCAGUGGAAAUAAAAUUAACUUGAAGCUCAUAAACUAUCAACAUGUUCAUAACCCGUGACUUUGUAAAAAUAUAAACUUAAAGCUCAUAAACUAUCAACAUGUUCAUAACCCCUGACUUCAUACCUAUAUCAACUUGAUGAACAAGUUCAUAUAAAAGCUCCCUACAUGUUAUGUAUCACAUACCUUAGUUCUUAAUACAAGAUAAUCCUCUCCUCUCUCUUUUUCCAUCACUAAAAUGCAAGUAUAGUGUACAAAGUCCACAUCUUUUCCUGCAAGCAGAAAAACACACUUUGGGUAAGUUGGCCAGAAAACAUACAAUAAAUUUCUUUUGGGUAAGAACCUUAGAAGAAACAAUUAUCAUUCACAUUUAUUAUAGUAAAACCUGGUUCAAGUUCAUAAAUUAAGCAUCUAUCGGCAUAGUUGACACAUAGAAGGUAAAAUCUGAAGCUAGAAAUGAGGUUAUAGUGAACAAUAAUGUAUUAUGAAUUAAGUUCCCAAGGAAUGGUAGUAUCAUAUAUAGUAAUGGUAGUAUCAGCCCACUUUUAUGGAUGAUGCAUAUUCAAUUACUGAUUCACAUUUACAAAAGAAUAUAAGCGUACCUUAUUGAGUGAACGACAUUUUUUUGUCUCCUCAUUCAUACGGUCUUGCAGCUUUCUGUUUCAGAAUGAACACCCUACAAAAAAAACUGCAUAUGACCAGUCAGUUAAGAAUCUUAAGAAGUUCAAAUAGAUUGAUAUGAAUCAAGGACAAUUGUAUACAAAUUAAGAACUGAUAAGGAGGGAAGAUAAAUAUGUAGGUGAAGUUUACCUCCUUCAACACCAGGGCAUCUAACUAUUCUUUUGUCAUGGUAAGACUUGACUAUAGGAGGCGCUUCCUAUAACACAGACAACAUACUAGCCUCAAUACACAAUAAUGGAAGCCCUAAACAUUAUUUGUACAUGUUCUAAACCAUGUAAACAUGCUUCAACUUUACCAGUUGAAAUUGACACAUAAGAGGUGCACAAUACGCAUAUUUUUUUGUCUAUUCAUUCGAUAGAAAGCAAUUAACCAUGUAACCACAAAAUUCAUAUGGUAAGAUCGAGGAGUCUGACAACUAUUAUCUCUUUUUUCAUUCAUUCACUCGAAGAUCAAAAUAUAAAUAAAAAACACCUUCCCCUCGAUAGUUAUUAGAAAUCUGCAAUUAGGAAUCAAAAGACUCUUGUUUAAGGUCUAAAAGUAUGAAUGUAAAAGCCCACUUCUACGACAACAAAUGCCAAAGUCAUCUCAUAUAAUUUAUGAAUAAUGAAGCAAGAACAUGAAACAAAAAAAUUAAAUCUUCAGAGUACCUUAGUACCAAAAGGAUUAAUUGGAUUAUUAAUCUCAAGAAUUUCCUCCCCUAAAAAUUAAGUCUUCGGAGUACCUUAGUACCAAAAGCAGAUAUAAACUAACAAUAAUAUGAAGUUUGACUAUCAUAUUCAUCUCAUCACCCAAAAACAGUGAUGUAAGCUACUUAAUAUAACAGACCAUAAAAGCUGGAAGAAGCUAGUUAUGCAGUAAUUCUCUAUUUGGUGUAAAGAAUAUAAAACUCCAAAGAAACUGCAUUUGAUUGAAGAGUUCAUAAAAUUGAUUUCCCAUCAAGAAUAUACAGUCACAUUUAAGAUUGAUACAAAAGACAUAUCUACAAGUUAAAUGUGCAGACAUACUGACAAUUAAACAUUAGUGUCUACAUGAACUCCUUUUUUUCUUAUUGAUACAUGAACUCCUUUUAUACCACAUCAAACUAAUAAUAAUCAAGUUAUUAGUAGAGUCCUUACUUAAACCUCAUGAACAUUACAAAGUAUUGAAAGCGAAUAAACAUCUCAGAGAACAGAACUCACCAGGUAAACAACUUCUAUUAAAUAAUUCUCGACAUUGUCAUUUCUGAAACAACAGUAUCAAGAAUAAGCACCCAAAUUAACUAUUAUAUAGUCAGCAGUUAUAAAAUUUCAUCAAAAAAGAAUUUUCAUCAGUUAAAUUAUAUCACCUUCCACAGUUCCACCUUUCAUUAUCCUAAAGAUCAUGAAAAUGUCCAUUCCUUUUCUGUUCUUUUGACCAGUGUGAUAAGCUUCAUUCCAACCCUAAAAAAUUAACCCCAAAGUUCAAGUUUUGCGGUGGAGAAAGAAUGCAUGCAAGAGCCUCUAAAACCAAAAUAAAGAAUUAUGAUGCACAAGAAAAGAAAAGCACAACAUACCAAAGCAAUUAAAUAUAACAACUUCAUUACAAAUGUAAAAACGAAGCAGAUAGGGAGAUACACUGACUUGUUCCUCUUUCCAUUCAUCGGGUCGGAGCACCAGUUAAUCUUUCACAGCCCAUGGUGAUCUGCAAAAUUUUCAAUCGAUCAAUCUUCAUACUAUGCUGAAAGAUGAUAUCGGAAACCAAUCAAUGAAGCGAGAUUGGGAUUUAAGAUUUUCAUUACUUGCAGCGCCGACGAAGACACGGAGUUGGAUUAGAUCGGCGUAUGGCCGAAACAGACAGAGUAAUUUAGAGGCUUGUCGAGCUGCGGUAGCUGAGAGAGAGAGAGAGAGAGAGAGAGAGAGAGAGAGAGAGAGAGAGAGAGAGAGAGNNNNNNNNNNNNNNNNNNNNGGAGAGGAACUUCGUUAUGCACCAUAAGAAAAAAGAGAUAAACUCAUAAAAGUAUAAUUUUAUAACUUUAAACAAUAUUGGUGACGGUCAAACAGUUGUGGUUUUUGCUAAUAGUGACACCGUUAUAAGGAUUGGGGAGAAAUCCUAUGGGUUAUGUCACCAUUAGACUAAUAGUGCAUAGAAAAUAGUAUCUGAUGCCCACAUUUGUGGUAGUGUCAUCUGCAGUCAUAGUCUCAAGAAUGACAAAUCGUCAUCAUCUGAAGUAUUGAGGCAUGUCAGAGAUUUCCAAUCUUCCUUCAAAAGGUUAGAUUUUUCCUUCCAUGACCCAUGUAAUAUCAGGAUUUAAGUGGGUAUAACAUGACUGAGAAAUUUGAAAAUAGGAAUUUAUUGGUUAUGAUUUCUUCAUGAUUUUCUGCUAACAUAAAUUCUCAAUUUUUUUUUCAUAUAUUAUUUCUUAGGAAAUUGAAUUCUGGUGAAGUUAAUCAAUGUGUUUGCAUAUAGGCGUCAACAGAUCGAGCUUGGCUGAGUAGUUGCCUCCUCCACAUGUAUAUGUGUUGGCUUUAAACUCAGUCUUCUACUAUAUGUGAUGUUUUGUUUCGUUAAGUGUUUAUUUUGUGAUCUUGUUUCGUCAAGUGCUGAUGUUUCUUAAUAUCUUUUAUUAAACAGCGACAAGCGUGGCUCGUGGAUCACAUUGUACCGAUACUGUCCCAACUUAACCACCUUUAAGGUGUUGGGUUUUAAUCACAAAAGGCCUCGGUACAAUUGGAUAAGAUCCAUCCACAUAUAAGUUAUAUUUUAUUUGUCACUUUUCUGAUGUGGGAUUUAUUCCUCUCUAAUACUUCUAAUACGCCCCCUCACGUGCAACCUGACUUAAGGUCCGCACGUGGAAUGAAUCGGGACGGAACGAACCAAGGGACACUUAGUGACAAUCCAAUCGGAAUAUUCCGAUGGUGAGACAAGAAGCCGGAACCGGGCGAGAAAAUAGAAUCCCGGACCGGACGAGAGAAUGAACCCAAAUCGGGCCCAUGAGAAUUGGAGAAGUAAUUGGAGAGGGACCCGCUCUGAUACCAUGUUAAACAGCGACAAGCGUGGCCUAUGGAUCACAUUGUACCGAUACUGUCCCAACUUAACCACCUUUAAGGUGUUGGGUUUUAAUCACAAAAGGCCUCGGUACAAUUGGAUAAGAUCCAUCCACAUAUAAGUUAUAUUUUAUUUGUCACUUUUCUGAUGUGGGAUCUAUUCUUCUCUAAUACUUCUAAUAUUUUUGUCUACUUUUCAGGUAUGUGUUCUUGCAAAAUUUAUUAGCCUUAGCUGAAGUUGUUGUUGAGCUUGACUUACAGAAUGAGGUUGGGGAAAUACAAAGAUUAGCCUUUUCGACUUUGCAAAGGAUGGAUCAGGCCAUCAGGGGACGAGCAUCAUUAGUUAGUUUCAACUUUCAACAAUAGUUUUUUAGAUUAGCUCCAUGUAAAUAGAUUAGCUCCAUUUCCCUCCUGGCCUCCUGGGAAAUUUUGAUUAGUUGUGCUUUGUUGUGGAUUUCCUGCAAAUCAGUUAAUGAAUAUAAUCAUUUAGAGAAACUCCGUAUUUCUAUGAAUAAUUGGACGUAUUUCUAUAAAUAAUCGGGUAUUUCUCUAAAUAAAUACAAACCAAUUUGAAUAAGAGCCGUCAGAUAUAUGGUGGGCCCAGAUAAUUCACAUUUAUAACAGCUGUUGAAUUUUACACAUUUUUUUUACAAUCCACACACCUCUAUCUCACUUUUUAUAAGAAAAUGUCUAAAAUGACUCUAUUUUAGACAACUAGAAAAAUUAAAACAUGGAUAGUUUAGACAUUUUCUUAUAAAAAGUAGGGUUUAGGUGUGUAAAUUUCACUCCCCUUAUAUUGACCCUUAAAAUGGUAAUAUAAAAUGGGUCCCAACUUUGAUAGCACCCACGAAUGUUUCGUAUACGUGAGAUUUUUAAGCUAUCGCCAUGGCAUUAGUCCGCAAAUCGUGACCAAGCCCAAUGCACACGAUUAUUCGUAGGUAAAAAGGCAACUCCCACGAAACAAAUUCCUAGCUAUACCCAGUUUUUUUUUUUUUUUUUUAGUGAUGGCUGAUUAAGUUGGAUAAGAGCUAGAUGUAUUGGUUCCACUUCCACCUCCAUGUAAACACAAAACUAUUGUAAUUUACCACACAAUAACUAAUUAGCAAAGACUAGUAGAAUACGUAUAUGUACUAAUGUACACCAAGGACUGACACCAAACUAACAAUUCAGGUGGCCCAUAUAUAACCGAGUUCGUUUUAUAAUUCGAGUUCUUACAUCUUUUUAAUAGAUUGAGCUGAUCAAGCAAAAAUUCGAAUCAAACAAAUGAAGUAAACGGAUCAAUGAACACAGGUUAUUCAAUAUGCAUGAUUGUGAUGUUACUGAAAUUAAUGGACAAUCAAUUUCAGUAUAAAGCUUAAGGUUAGCUGAGCAUGUCGUCUUAAUUAACUGCAGUACGUAUAGAUGAUCUGUUCUCAUUCAGUGUGCUGAUGUUCAUCUUCAGAAUGGAAAUCUGAAGUUGUGAAGAUGUAGUUUUUGAGAGCCCCGAGAAUGAUCCAUGCACAAUAGCACGAAAGACGAAAACUGAAGUGGAAGUAGAAUUUUUCUGUAAACUUUGUACCUACAAAAUUAAGUUUAAUAAUUUUCAGAUUCUUAUGCAGAGGUUUGGGUACGCAUGAAUCAAGAGAUCAGUGAAAGCAUAUUCUCAUCAUAAUUAACAUCAUACUUUCUGCAAUUUGUUCUCAAAUUGGAUUACCUAUAUAUAAAUUCUAGGCCAUAUAGAAAAUUAGAAAUAUAAGGUUGUUCAGCUUCCAUUCCGUGGAUGGAAAAUUCUAGUAUACCAUAUGGUAUAACAUACCUCACAAAAUAUGUGGCUAUCAUUGAUUGAAAAAACAACUAAAUGACCAUGUAAUGACUAUUUACCCCUUCAAAAGCCCACAUAGGCAUGUCAUACCAUAUGGUAUGAUAAACAAACCCUCCGUGGAUAUAUUUGUUAAAGAUCCUUGAAUCAUUUCCCCCAAAAAAGAAAAAGAAAAAAAAAGGAGAUCCUUGAAUCAGAGGUUAUAUAGGCUUUGAUGAAUGUCGUAUAUUGCUCGUCAUUUUCUUGAUGCAUCUAAUUAAGUACGUAGUUGGAGAAAACAAGAUGCCAGUGAAUCUAAUACCAAGAUUUCUUGCAGGGCUGCUUAAUAUCAAGUUAUCAACUAUUGUGAGUUACUAAAAUGAUUGAGUUCGUAUGUGGGUGAAGAUUUCACAUGGAAAUUUUGAUACAGAGAUAUGUAAUUAUGCAAACAGAUCCGUUCAUAUAUUCCUUUCCAUCGACAAACAAGUUACAUCAACACAGGCACACUUGAAAGAAAUCCCAUUUACAACAGUUGCGCACACAUGAUUAAAUCGAUCACUUCACUCCAAAACUUUCAAACCUCACUUUCCGGGAACAAAGUUUGUGGCAUAUGACCAAGCGUUGUUGUUAACAGGGUCAGCCAAGUGAUCAGCUAGGUUCUCAAUCGGUCCCUUUCCGGUAACAAUAGCUUGCACGAAGAAUCCGAACAUGGAAAACAUAGCCAGUCUUCCGUUCUUGAGCUCCUUCACCUUAAGCUCAGCAAAAGCCUCAGGAUCGUCUGCAAGCCCUAAAGGGUCAAAGCUCCCACCGGGGUACAACGGGUCUACUACCUCACCGAGAGGACCUCCUGCAAUUCUGUAGCCUUCAACAGCACCCAUCAAGAUCACUUGUGUUGCCCAGAUUGCCAAAAUGCUUUGAGCGUGGACCAAGCUAGGGUUUCCCAAGUAGUCUAGUCCACCCUCACUGAAGAUUUGAGCUCCAGCCUUGAACCAAACAGCUUCGCCGAACUUGACUCCAUUACGAGCCAAGAGUUCAGGGAAAACACAGCCAAGGGCACCUAGCAUGGCCCAUCUGGAAUGGAUGACUUCGAGCUCACGGUUCUUGGCAAAGGUCUCAGGAUCAGCUGAGAGCCCAGCUGUGUCCCAGCCGUAGUCACCGGGAAACUCUCCGGUGAGGUAAGACGGGGCUUCGCCGGAGAAUGGUCCCAAGUACUUGACACGGUCAGGACCGUACCACGGGCUGACGGAUGACACAUUCUUUGACUUGGCUGCGGUUUUGCGCAUGGUAACUCGGCCCUCACCGAGGAGGUUAGAUGUGGAGGAACCAAGCUUCACAGCUUGGCCAGCUAGAGAAGGGGAGGAGAGAGCCAUUGUUGAAGAAGCCAUUUGAGGAAAGUGUUGAGAGUUCUCAGCUUAGACAAUGUGGGGUGGUGAGGGCCGAGGGUUUGUGUUUUGAGUAGAGCCGUUGGUGGCUAUUUGUAUAGGGUUUUGUGUGGGGGUUCUUUAUCUUUUUGAUAUCUUCAUCUCUAUUCUUAUUGGGUGAUAGUGAAGUUUGAAGAUUUUUCCCUUCAACGGAUCUCUGCAUUUCCAGUUGGCCUCGUAUGCUCCACUACUAAGUUCAGUUAGUUCCAAAAAUAGAAAGACAUGCAGAGACAAAAAUGGAAAUCUGUUGUGGAUGUACUCUAUCGAAAAUAAAAUCUGUUGUGGAUACUCUGUGCUUUGAUUUCCAGCUAAUAGACGGUGACCACGUCAGCUUUGGAUCAGGGUAAUGGCUGAUUAAGAUUCUUGGAUAAGAGCUAGAUGUAUUAGUUCCACCUCCAUGUAAUGUACGUAUAUGUACACAAAGAAGUUAAUUAACUAGCAAAGAAUAGUAGAAUACGUAUAUGUACAUAAAGGACUAAUACCAAACUAACAUGCAACUCAGGUGAUCCCAUAUUAAUUAUAACGAGUUCGUUUUAUAAUUCGAGUCGUUACAUCUGUUUGAAAGACUAAGUUUAUCAUGUAAUAAUUUGAAUCAAACAAAUGAAGUAAACGGAUCAAUGAACACUGGUUAUUAAUGCAUGAUUGUGAUGUAUAUAUGUUACUGAAAUGGACAAGCAGUGUUUCUGUAUAAGCUUAAGUUUUCGCCAGAUCAAUUGAAGGAGGCCGAGCAUGUCGCCUAAAUUAACUGCAGUACAUAGACGAUCUGUUCCCAUUCAGUGUGAUGAUGUUCAUCUUCAGAAUGGAAAUCUGAAGUUGUGAAGCAAAAUGUAGUUUAUGAGAGCCCCAAGAAUGAUCCAAUGCACGAUGGCCUCCUGAAAGUCGAAAACUGAAGUAGAAGUAGAAAUUUUCUGUUAACUUUAUACCUACAAGUUUAAUAAUUUCAUGGACGCAUGAAUCAAGAGAUCAGUGAAAGAACAUUGUCAUCAUACUUUCUGCAAGCUAUCCUCAAAUUGGAUUACCUAUACAUGAAUUCAAGGCAUCAGCCAAAAGCCCAAAAGUAGUAUUGCAUAUAGGUUGUCCAGCUUCCAUGUUUGUCAUAAGGAUCCUCAAAUCAGCAUUAGUGGCUUUGAUUGAAUUUCAUAUAUCGCUUGUCAAUUUGUUGAUGCAUCUAAUUAAGUCGGAGAAAUUAUACAAGAUGUGUCAGAUAUUUCCAUGAUUUCUGGCAAUGCUGCUUAGAGCUGAUUCAUUAACUUGUGAGUUAAUAAAAGAUGAUUGAGCUUGUAUAGUUGUAUAUAUGGGUGAAGAUUUUACAUAAAAUUUUUAGUACAGAGCAAUUUAAGCAAACAGAUCUGUUGAUAUAUUCCUUUCCAUCGACAAACAAGUUACAUCAACAGAAACACACUUGAAAGAAAUCCCAUUUACAACAGUUGCAAACACAGAUGAUUCGAUCGAUCACUUCUCUCCCAAGCUUUCAAACCUCACUUUCCGGGAACAAAGUUGGUGGCAUAGGACCAAGCGUUGUUGUUAACAGGGUCAGCCAAGUGGUCAGCUAGGUUCUCAAUCGGUCCCUUUCCGGUAACAAUAGCUUGUACGAAGAAUCCGAACAUGGAAAACAUGGCCAGUCUUCCGUUCUUGAGCUCCUUCACCUUAAGCUCAGCAAAAGCCUCAGGAUCGUCUGCAAGCCCCAAGGGGUCAAAGCUCCCACCGGGGUACAACGGGUCUACUACCUCACCGAGAGGCCCUCCGGCAAUUCUGUAGCCUUCAACUGCACCCAUCAAGAUCACUUGUGUUGCCCAGAUUGCCAAAAUGCUCUGAGCAUGAACUAAGCUUGGGUUUCCCAAGUAGUCUAGUCCACCCUCACUGAAGAUCUGAGCUCCUGCCUUGAACCAAACAGCUUCUCCGAACUUGACUCCAUUACGAGCUAGGAGUUCAGGGAAGACACAUCCUAGAGCACCGAGCAUGGCCCAUCUUGAAUGGAUGACCUCGAGCUCACGGUUCUUAGCAAAGGUCUCGGGAUCAGCUGAGAGCCCAGCUGUGUCCCAGCCAUAGUCACCGGGAAACUCUCCGGUGAGGUAAGAUGGAGCCUCCCCGGAGAAUGGCCCCAAGUACUUGACACGGUCUGGGCCAUACCAAGGGCUGCCAGACGACACAGCCUUGGACUUGGCUCCAGUUUUGCGCAUGGUGAUUCUGCCCUCACCGAAGAUGUUAGAUGCAGCUGGGCUAAGCUGCACAGCUUGGCCAGCUAGAGAAGGAGAAGACAGAGCCAUUGUUGAAGCAGCCAUUUGAGAAAAAUGAAUCUAGUCUGGUUAGACUUGGAUAAGGGGAUGUGAUGGCCGUUUGUUUUGUGAUGGUAAGAGACCUUGGUGGGCAUAUUUAUAGCUCUGGUGAUAGGGAUUAUGCAUUAUCUGUGUGAUAUCUUUAUCUCUAACUCUCAUUGGUGAAAAUGAAGUUCAAAGAUUUCCAAUAUAUCUUCCUGUGAUUCUUUCCAGUUGGCUUCAUAUGUUCCACAAGUUUAGUUCAGAAUAUCUGAGAGACAAUGAAGAGAUUAUCUCAUUGUUUUCAUUUAUCUUAGAGUUUAGAUACUUUCAGCUGUGGCCGUAGUAUUUCCAAGUAAUGACUUAUUCAUUUCCAGUUGGCUUCAAAUUUUAUGUGGUGUUGAGAGCAUAGUCAACAUAUGCUUUAAUCUCAGUCCAAGAGAUUUUUGGUAGGCAAUUGGUAAGUACAGCCUUCCGAGACUAAUGACACCAAAAGAUUAUAGGAUAGAGGGAAAAUAUUUGCAGGUGAAAAUUUGUGAACACUGAACUAACAGGAACUUGGUAUUUCAAGUGUCACAAUUUGUUGCCACUGAAUUUGUGUCAUUUUUGAUAUAAAUGUGCAGAACACAUCCAAAAUAUCAUGAUUAUAAAAUCAUGCUAUUUACUUCUGAGAUACAAAUCUGAACUGGCAUGUUUUUUAUGCAGGGAAGUAGGAUUCUGAUAUUGAACUACUAGUAUACUGGAGCCCUAUGUUCUUUAGUCAAAAGAGAACUGAACUACAAAGUGCUCGAUUCUCAAGUGCCGAGCCCUACGAGUAAAGAGUGUACAUACUCAUCCUAACCUCGUUUGGCUUCAUCAAUUGAGCGUAAACUAAAUGAUAUAACCUUGUUUUCCGGCACUAAAGCAUAUAGUUAGGUAAAGCAUCUCAACAACAUCAUCAUCAGCUAAAAAAUCUGGAAUUGAUGUAAUAUACAAAGUGACCAAGGCAACUCAUUGUCAUCAGAUUUUUACUGUUAAACAACUACAUGAGUCAUAGCAACUCAAAUAAACUUGUGCUCUACCUUAUAUGAGACUUGCCCGUAACUUACAAAGAUCUAGAAGCAACUCAUGGUCAUAAAGUCAAAUGAACAACAGGAUAAUCAUGGCAACUCAAAUAAGGACUUAGUACUACCACAUAUAUGAGUUCCCCAAACCAACAGAUAUUCUAGCAUAGCUGAGACAUUUGUGAGAUUAUGAUCGAAUUACAAAUCAACACAUUAAAACAAACUCAUUAGCUGACACAAUUCCGACUGAGUUAACAAACAUACCUGUUGGAGUAAGUAACUUAUUUAUAAUGUCGAGAGCAGUCAACACCCCAGAUUCAAGAGGAGUCAGGUAUCCAAUCUUUUGGCAAUGAGGAUUCGAAUAUUCGGAGAAGCAUUGUUCUCUCCUUUCUCCCUAGCUUCCUUGCACCAUAUCCACGGAAAACACCAAGCUUACGUGCCUUUUUCCCUUCUUCCACUGCUCUUUUUCUCACGGCGACCAAUAAAUCUGUCCCUUGGGGAUCAAUGUUGUUCUCUUGUUUUUCACUUCCACAUUUCUCUUGGUUCCCUGUAAUUGAACUUGCGCUAUCAUCUGCUAAUUUGUUGGACUGAUGCUUGUUUUCUUCAUCAGCGUUAUCUGCUUCUCCAUGGAUACCCUCAUCACAAUCUGGGCUAUUGCUUCCCCACCAUCUAUUGGAUGCAGUUGAUAAACCUUCAGAUGGGAAUCCAGACUUAAACUCUUCCAAGGUUGUACCUUUGGUCAAGCUUAACGUGAGAAGAUUGUGAGGCCGUCCAGUCUGAACAUUUUUGCUUCCUUGCUGAUGCAAAUUAUUAGAGGCCAUGACACCUGGUGGUUUCAACUGCAAUACUGGGUAUUGGGAAUCACUGCAUUUAAAAAUGAAGGCCAAAGAAUAUGAAAGGGAACAAUGAAGAAAAAAGGUUCACCAGGAACAUUUAAUGUCAUGACCAAUCUGUUGGUCAAUAUGUCUAUCACGAUUAAGUUGGUUCAUACAAAACAAGUAGAAUGCACCAAAAGUAAUGUCACAGAGGGGAAUAUCAAAGAUGACUAACAAUAAACAAUUAAGAGAUUAAACACCACCAGGUAGCAGCCUUAUAUUAGUAUUUAGUUAUGAUUCUCAGACUCUUCUUCACAUAUAGUCAAAUUUACAUUAACUUAUAAGGUUUAAUUCCUAUCUGCUUCAUCACUGAUCUAAAGACAUGAUUUUUAUGUGAUUUAUUUUCAAUAUCCAACAAUUUUUCCGACCCAUGUGUAAUUGGUUUCAGUAUAUCAUUAGAUGUGCAGCAUAAUCAUCUUUUCUCUUUGGUUAAGUAGCCCUAACCAAAAAGCAACCAACUCUAUAUAAAUUCAGGCCUAACUACGAGUCAUCAAGAAGAUAGAGUAUAUGCAGUCAGGAGGAUAAGCAAGCAUGUGGAAACCGAGUCCGGGCGUGUCCCAAGUGAGCAAGGCAAUCAACAGAUAAGCGCAAUGCAAAACGCUCUCCUAACCUUCAAGCAAGAGUCUUGGGCACCAUAAUCUCUAAAAUAGCAUCUCAAACACCCGUAAGCUCUUCCUUUCAAAUGCAGGAUUUCAAAAGAUGUCACCCUUGGCUAUUAUAUCAAAUACAGGACCAAGAGUAGCCGAAGCUAGAUUUGCGAAAAAGAUCAGAUCUUUAUGUACCAAUUUUUGGCAUCUAACUUAGUUACUUGUAUUCUUCUGCAGAGAAAUUGCAUUCUCUACAAACAUGCUGCAAAUUUCACUCCUAAUCUAUGGACAUCGAACCCAAAAUCGUGAGCAAACCUUUUCAUCUUUUCUAGAGUAGAUUUCAAUAUCAUUUACCAACACACACAAGGGCAUCUACAUAUAUACAUAGAACCAAUACUAGGAUACAAAAAUCACUAAUAUAAAAAGCACAGACCUUUUGGAAGUAAAUUUGUUGCUUCCGAAAGGCCAACCCCAGAAGCAUGAAUUUGAAGUCUCUUUCGGGAAUCAAACGUAAGACAGAAAAACGCAAAGCACAGGAAACAGAAUAACAGAGUAUCUCGCUUACGAUUGGGCUGUUGUUUUUGUUGUUGUGGUGGCUGCUGCUCUAGUGUGGCUGCUGCCUUGAGCUCUCCAUUUCAGACACCUAAAAGUGGAGAGCUCAGAAACGAAGUGACUUUCAUAUGGGUUAAAGACAAAACUGUAUGUUCUAUAUUGUUUAAGCAAAUCGACACGUGGCAGAAUCGUGUUUCUUAGUACAUGCUUUCUACGGUCAGGAUUCGAAAUUGGUAAUUUAUUUUCGUUUAAAACCUAAAAUUGCUGUUAAGCAUCACUGUAAAACAAGACCGUCAUGUCCUCCUAAGGCACUACAAGCUUGCCACUGCCCAAGGUGGUGGCUAGCAAGUUUUUGAACCUUUAUGUGUAUCUAAUUUUUUUUGUUUUUAAUCUCUUUUUUUCACACAUUAGCUUGGUACAGUGACCUAAUACUUAGACCUCGUUUGGUUCAUAAAAAAUAACUAUCAACAAAGAUAUAUAAGACUAUAAGUCACUCUACUCGAUCUGCCCAUAAAAAAUAAUUCGUAUGAUGCUAUAGAAUUUUCACAUGAAUUUAUCUUUCCUUCCGGCAAGAAUCAUUGAAAUUUGUAGCCCUCCGACUGAAUGCUUGGUUGAAGAGCAACCGUGUUUGGAACUCGGAGACAAACGGGAACCAUGACAAAAUGGCAACAGGCGCGAAGACUGCCACUCCCAUUAUAUAAUCAUAUUCUCUUCCCAGCUCCUUGAUUGAUUCCCAGAAUCCUACUCCCUUAAGCAUUGGCCUGCAUGCUUGCCCGAUCUUGAAAGGAAAAAAUAUAAAUGGUUUUCAGUAAAUAUAAUGCAUUAGAAACACUCGUGAAAAAAAGCUACUGUUAAGAGAACCAAGUUACUCCCUAUUUAUUUUGGUACAUUCUGAUCACUGAGGUCAGAAUAAGUGUACUAGUAUGAUAAACGAAAUGAGAAAUCUGAAGGCACUAAGUGCAGAUAACCAGAGACAGAAAAGUUUGACUUACAAGAAGAAGUGCCCACCCUGUGGGCAAGAAGGCAAGGAUAGAGGCAAACAGAUCUGAAAUAGUAAGGCCACAAACUACAAAUAGGACAGUCAUGACUGACAUGAAGCCAAGGAAAAGAAGCGCUUUCAGAAUUCUGAACAUGAGCUGAAAGUCGGCACCAAAUCUUCGUCUAACCAUUGACACCAUCUGACAGAAGUGUAGCAAAUAAAUAAGCAACAUCAUUCAUUUGAUACUAUAUAAAGUUCCCAGGAAAAAUAUGAUACUGAUAAAAGUAGAAAAGGGUAUGCACAAACUGUCAUGUUAUCUAUAACUUGGUCAGAACCUGAACAGCUUAUUCUUCAAAAACAUUCAUAACUUACAAAGUUUAAUGCUUUAUUUGUGAUUUUCAUUUGCAUACCUUUAAGACGAGAAGCACUGUUACCAUAACCACCCAAGAAAGUCCAUAAACCUACACACAAAUUGAAAAGGUAGUCGGUUCUGAAUGUUAAAAGCAACAAGAGACAACGUACUCGUAUAUGUUUGAACAUAAAUACUACCAGUGAACUCUUGCUGAAAUGAGCUAUAUCAAGGUGGUAAACAAUCCCAUAUUGGAAAAAGAAGAAGCGACAUGCAAGCACUAUCUCAAGAAUUCUUCCACGGAUAGUAGUGUGCUUGAGGUCUUCCUGCUCUUCAUCCCACCAUGAUUCCCAACUUUUGUCAGGUGAGAUCCCAAUACCACCACGAUUUCCCAUCCACCUCUUCCAAUCCGCCCAAUCAUCUACAGUUUUUUGCCAGUCAAAGCUGGAUGGAUUGAAGAUAAAAGGAGCAAACAACCAGGAAGCAACCAGAAACCACAUGGAGAACGUGAUGAAAAAAUACAGAUUUGAACUCCUAUAAGCAUUCCCGUAGACUCCAUAUACAAUCAGCAGAAUCAACAGCUCCAACCCUUUCACAAAGUGACUUCUUGAGUACAGCCUGUAGUUAUCGGCAAACUUUGCAUGAAAAACAACAAAACCACGGCCAGUUGGUCUAUAUUUGGAUCCACCAUGUAAGAUUGUCCUUCCGUAGUAAUGUGCUUUUGUUCCUAAUUGGAAAGUGAAGAAAACAGAGGCCAGCUGCAACUGCAUGAUGAUGAAAUCACCCAAGGCAGUGCGGAAUCCUUUCUCCAGACCAAUUUCCAUAACCAUGGGGAGGACCAGCAACAACCCCAGUUGAAAGACAGACUGUGUAGCCAGAGCUUCUUCAAAAGCCUUGGUCUGAUGUAUGGCUGGGCUAUCCAGGAUCUCACUUUCCAAUCCACUCAUAACCAUAUAUAGACGUCCAUAUAAAAACACAUAGACAGUCAGCACAGUUACCUGAAACGAAAUAGUAUCUGUAUCAAAUAGAAUUACAUUACCAAAACACUGCACUCAAAGAACAUCUGCCCAGAAAAGUAAAACCAAAGCGAACCAAAACAAAUCCUCAUAUUUAACUUGUUUCCUAUUCAAAACUAAGAUUCAGUCAAUUUGAUUGUAUAGUACUAUAGUAGGAUGACUUCUUUAUCAAUGACACCAUUAAGUUAAAAAAGAAAUACACUAAAGAAAAAUUGUAUUACAAAAUAAAUAGUGGUAGGCACUAAGAUCAACAAGCAGUUGGCCUGAAGCUGUCAUUAACAUGUGAAAUGGGUAGCAUCACUAGCAUGCAUAAUGGUUUUACAGUCAUUUGAGUAUCCUAUCCCUUCACAUGAAUCAACACCAUAUAACCUAGUACUUUAGAGAAAGGUGAUUUAAUACAGUGAUUGAUUAUAAACUAACAUAUUCUCUAUAACUUACUUUUUUUUAAUUCAAUAAUAUUCUCUAUAACUUAUUGAUAUAAGGUAUAUACUAUGAAACAACCAAGUCAACUAAUGAAAAGAUGAUUGGUUUGGAUAACAUACCAUGCUACUAAAAUAGAACCCAACUGUUGUGAAGUAAAAGGACAGCAUUCUAUAGAAAUCAAACCGAUGGCCAAGCCUAUAAACAUCACGGCUAAGUGUCUGCUCUCCAUUCCCAUUUGCAACUUUAGACUCGAAAAGUGAUAUCUGAUUCAUUCCAACAUCACGCCCCUUGCCUACUUGGAUAUACUCAUGAUGUGUUACAAAUCCCCCACGCAGAACAGAAUUGUACCCUGAAGACAUACAAACAAUUAGUCAAAAACAUUCAAUACUUACUAGACAGGGAUCUUCUGGUGAAUAUAUGAAAAAUUUACCUGAAAAUAUAUUCUCGCUUAAGUUAAUUACUUUCGAUGCUUUGCUUAUGCCACCCCUUGUUAUGUGGAAGAGUCUGUCAAAAAUAUCCGGAUGGCCAUAAUGAAACCGUACCCUGUCAUGGUAGAAUGUUAUUAGAUGGAUGGGUACUUGAACGGUAAUAGUAUAAACAGGGGGAAAAUGACAAAGAAAGAAGAUGAUGCUAGUAGUAACUCUAGAUUGGGACUGAGCUGUAGCUCAAGUUGAACGUAAAAUAUAAGGCAUACCUCAGAUUUGCCAAAAUUCGUUGGCCUAUAGUGACAAAACUAGUCUCUUGAUUGGACAUGAACGAAGCAAGUGAUGAAACACUGUAGAUCAGAGGUUGAACAUAAGAUAAAUAGAAUUAACUGAAACAGUGCAAAUCUGCAGAAAAUAUUAUACACAAUCCCAAUCCUAGCAGUCAUAAAGGCCCAAUAUACGAGGCGUUGGAGGUUCGACGCCGGUGGUGGGGAGACAUGGCAAAGCAACUUCGAGUUUGGGCCGGAAUGAGGAUUGGGUUUCUGCUUGGUUUGGUCCAUUGGGCCUGGGUGAAGAAAAUCAGUCCACUUCGGGCAAUUAUUUUAACAGCUUUAUGUUAUUUUCUUUUAUUUACUGCUUUCAAUAAGGAGAUGUGGGCGUCGUCCCGGGGUUGGCACCUUGCGUGCCUCGUUUGUCCUAGGUAAGUUGCAAGUUUCUUGUUUUGUCAAAUGGUCGCAACCUUCUAGUGGCAAGAUGAAACAUAAGGUCGCCGGAUAUGAUUCCGUACGGCAACAUAGUAAAAAAUUUGCACUAUUAGUCAUCAUGAUGCUUGUCCUUAAUACAAUUAUCUUUCCGUUAUGUCACCGCUUUACCAAAGCAAAUAGAGUUACCGAUGAUGCAUUCUUUGCUAACUGGUACAUGUUGAAAUACGUUAUUCUUUGUAAUUUGGGGUUUAGACUUUAUGUCCCCUUUUUGUAUUCUAUGGUUUUAUCAAUCAAGACUUAAGGACAGCCGUACCGGCUCUUUUUCCAAAAAAAAGAAAAAGAAAAAAAAAAGCUCAAUAUAUAUUGUGAAGAGGUAUAUGAAAAGGCUGACCUUCCAGUAAAAAUAUGUUCCCUUAGACCCAAUAUUGUAGGUUUCCGCUGCCCCCGUCGAGGCUUCCGGAAUUCCUCCAAUACAUUUCUCAUUUUGAAAGCUUCCUCAAAAUAAUUAUCCUGUAUAAAAUUUAUUCAAAAAGACAGUAAAUAUACGAAAACACAGUUAACCGCUUUCUCAUUUUGCAUAACGGUGCAAUGAUUGCCACCUGAUUCAUGUCAAUGGUUUGCAGGGCUUCUCCACGAGUAAAGACGAUGGCAUGGUUUUGAUUUUCAGGUCUGCCUUCACCAAUUUCUGUAGGAGAACCUGGAAGCUUGAUGCGGUAUAUUUCCUAGCAAAGAAAUAAGAUUCCUCAACUGAGUUAUUGACUAUUAGCCACAUAUUCUGCUCAUAUGAGACAUUAAGCUCAACAAAGGUAGGUAAAGGCUCUUCAUCAUUCCAUUACAAGUAUGGAUUCCUCGAGAAUUGCUACUCUAGAUGGUACUGAGAUAACAUACAAGUGCACAGAUAUAUGAUGUUAUUUCCUUCCUUACCUCAUCCCAUUUGUCCCCUCCCUUGACCAGCACAGAAAAAUAAAUCUUUUGGGAUUUUCCAUUCACUGUCUCCUCUCUUGUAUCUAUGUAAGCAACCCAUAGAGAAGGAUACCUACAAGACGGUUUCAUGUGUAAAGAUCAUAUCAAUUAUUCAUAUUACAAAGGGAACUACAUAGUGUUCAUAUUAUGGUGAUAACUCACGUUAACAUCAGCUUGAGAAUAUUUGUGUAACAACUUUUGUCACGACUUUCACUGGAAUUCUUCUGUUCACCGUAGAUUUGACAAGAAACUACAUAAGUGAACUUCAAAUCUGCCAGAGCUUGUGCCCGAUCAAGAAUAUCCUUCUCAUCAAUUUGACUUAAUAUCUGGGCUGGGUAGCCUCCAUAAACACCUGCAAAUAUCCGUUUUCCACAUUAUUUGCUUGUAAAGAUUUUGGAACUAAAAUCAUGAACGUCAAUCUGGAGUUGAAACACAUUUUUGUCAAAGGACCACUAACCAUCUCCUGCUGUUUCCAGGAUACAUUGAAGGUCUAGAGCCUUCCUAUAGUACAUCAUUCCUCUCACUAGCAGAAAAUACAGAUAAAAUGUUAAGAAUUGGACAUGGUACUUGUAUAAGAUACAAAGUUACAGAUCAUGCAGACCUGUUCUAGAAAGUGUCUGUCCCCUGUAAGAUACCCACUGGCGAAGUAACUCCGACUUGUCCUUGUUAGAGUACUCAUUCUUAGGUUCAUUUAUGCGGUCCUGGAAAUUUCUCCAUUCAUCUGUUGGUAGUCAUAGUUGGUAGACAGGUAUCAGUUCAAAUAAAUUUCAAACAACGAAAAAGAAUAAUCUAGAAAUGAGACUGAAAUGCACCAGGAUAUAUCUUCUGCAGGUAGAACAAGAUUGAGAUUCCAUCCUCAUUUUCCUUGUUGAGUUCAUCAUCAGAAUACAGAACAUCUUCUUUGUAAUAAGGAGUCAGAACACUGAAUCAUAAAUCAGGAAAAAGUGAGAUGUUAGACAGGCAACUAUUAAAAUUUUAGAAGACCACUACAAUCACAUGGUUGACAAAUUAAAAUACACAUUCAUUCAUUGAAAAUAGAUCCCGAAGCAUACAAGUACUCCUCCAAAAUGAAAAGAGAAACAUAUCUUGACUACAAUUCCAUUAAGUCAGUAGGAAAGCUUUAGUGUGUUCCUCACCUUUGACAUUAUUGCAGUAAUAUGUUAGUUUCUCUUUGUUUUUUAUUAUGUUGUUGUAGUUCACUAGCAACAUAAUAGUUCCCACUGACAACUGACAAACCAAGAUUCCAUAAUGACUGACCUAAAGGAGAGCAUGUCACGAACUUUGGGAGCAUUUGGCAUGUUCAUGAAUAGAGAGUUCGCAAAGAAAGUAAUGCGCCUGCGAGCAUCCAAGUUUUCGGGCACAUUGAUGGCAGAUUCCUUGACGGUCAAAAGCAAAUGAAGCCUAACAACCUAUGUACAUGUAGAAGAAAAAAUAAGACCAAAAGAUUUUGGAUCUUCAGUUAUUGUCUUUGACACAAGAAUAUCUGCCAAAAUUACCUUCUCUCUCCAAGAUGGAUUUUGUGCAAGGUAUAUGUUGAUUUUUUCAAACCUUUGCUCCUUCUUGACAUUUUGACCCUCUGUGUAGUGAGCUGCUUCAAGAAUUCUACAAAGAAAGAAGGACACCUAUUAACAUAUGGAAACCAAAGGGGCUCAAUUGG